rnacentral:lncRNA from 1 species
CCUAUUCUGUGGAACUCCCUUCCCUCCUCAAUCAGACUUUCACCCAGCCUCCAUUCCUUCAAAAAAUCUUUGAAAACUCACUUCUUCAUUAAAGCGUAUCAAUUAAACUGUCAGCAGGUUUUUCAUCCCCCACCCCAUGACUCCGUUCCUUCACCUGUCAAAAAUGACCUACCAAGCACUCAAUAAACCCUUCUGUAACAAACUAUUUAAUUAACCUACUUUAACCCUUUGUGUCACUAUACCCACUCCCUCUAGCAUGUAAGCUCAUCGAGCAGGGCCCUCAACCCCCUCUGUUCCUGUACGUCAGUGGUCUGAGCUCAAUUAUGUGUCUGUUAGUCCACCCAUUGUACAGCGCUACGGAAUUUGUUGGCGCUAUAUAAAUAAUAAAAUAAUAAUAAUAAUAAUAAUAAUGAAAGGCUGUUUUAUCACAAAGCGAUCUUUAACAAUUCAUAACACCAUCAUAAAACUUAUGAAAACACUAACGUAUUGUAACCAAUAAAUGCAUUAUAAAAAUAUAUUAUAAAAUAUCAUUAUUAAAUCAACAAUGUAUAUAAUUUAAAAUAGAUUAGUGCUAUGUAACGCUUGUAUAGCACCAAGUUCUAGAUGCAACAUAUAAUUUUGAACGUGUGACUGCUACCCAUUAAGGAAUAUAAGUAUAUUUAUUCCUUAAUUUCCUUAUUUUGGUUGCAUGUGGGAAGGGGCUGAUCACCUAAAUGUCGCUCCACUCCUUGAAACUUAUUUUUUGAUUAGCCUUAUUGUGUGGUGAAGGGAACACACUGAAGUGUUGUAGCUGGAACAUAUAUUAAUUUAGUACACUAUUUAUCUGUAAUUUUAUAUAGGCUACAUUUGUUCUGUCCCUAUAUAUUCUAUAUAAUACAACUUAGCGCUCCAAGAUUAUUUAAUUUUACGCUAAUAUUUCUUAUUUAUUUAUAUAGUAUCUAUAUAUUAUCUACUUAUCCCCAGAUCCGAUUGGGCCUGGUGCUGACAAUUAUAAUGGGCCUAAUUACAGAAUCUUAUCGCCAGAAAACACUUAAACAAUUAUACCUCACAAGUGUCAUGUAUCUGGUGGAGUUGAUGCUGGAGGGAAACUCACAGAAUCAGUGGCAUACACACAAUCCACGGGGCCCCGUUGUGAAACUGAUCCAUGCCCCACCCCCAACAGACACAUACAUACAGACACACAUACAUACACACAGAGAUACAUACUGACAAACACAUGCACACAGACACAUACACAUAUACAUACAUACAGACACAUACACACAGACAGACUGACAGACACACACACAUACAAAGACACAUAGAUACAGACAGACACACAUAAAAACAGACAGGCACACAUACAUACAGACAGACACAUACAUACAGAGACACUCAUGCACACAGAGACACACACACACAUACAAACAAAAAAACACAUAUACAAAAUGUUUAAGUCACCCUCCUGUUUCCUUCCUUUAAGGUGCAAGAGGGUGACUUUCACUGGGGUCCAGUGGUGGCUCAGGCUGGUGGGAGUCAGAGUUCCCACUUUGACUCCCUCUCCUUCACUCCGCGCGGGCUCUCGCUGUUAGCUGGGAGGAGUGCCGGGCAGUCACUUCCUCCCAGCUGUGAUGUCAUGACCGUGCCCCCUGGACAUUUAUAGCCAUCAGGUGGCCCUAACAGCAUGGGCCACCCAAUGGGACCCUUGAACGUGCGGCCCCGGCGGUUUGCUGCACGGGCCGGGGCAGCAACACAUGGCGGCAGACACCUGGUUGCAGGGGUCCGCAGAGCGGCCGGACCCCCUGGAGUGAUGGGCCCGGUCGCAGCUGCGACCCCUGCGACCACGGUAUGUACGCUACUGGACAGAAUAUAGCUAUCAGAAAACACAUGCUAACCUUAUGCUAAUCUCUCGCUUUCAUCUUUCAAGUAAAUCCAUACCCUCUAACAGCAGUGUCCAGUGAAGCAGGAUUUCGGUGGACAUGGUUAAAGGGUGGGCCACUGAUGUGAAUUGCAUAACCAGAACUGCCUAAAGGAACAAACAUGCCCAAAAAGAGAACUAAAUCAAUCUAUACACUCGUAUAUAAAUACUUUUUUUUAAAUACAUCUUGAUGACAUUUUAGAAAUAAAAUGUUUUUCAUAUUAAUUUGAUAUUUGUAAUAUUAUAUCAUAUUAUGUACAGAUGGCGAAGUCGAUAGGAUUUAACCUGAUAACUAAGUAUGAAUAUCUGGGUAAAGUGCCAAAUUUCCUGAAUAGUAAAUUAAUAGUUUCGUCAAUAAGCCCCUGAAGCACAAAGAGUCUUCUUGAUCGACAUACAUUCACAUCGUAUCUUAUAUGCAUGGUGUAUAAAAAAGUAAGAAUAUAAAGGAACCAUUUUUCACAUAUAGGUCAAUUCCUGAGUGGGCAAGCUGCGAUUCGUGGAAACCCAUUGCUGAAGAACUGCACCGAUUUGUCAAGCUUUGGAAAAUAAAAUACAGGGUUAAAACCUAAGCAUUUAUUGUAUAAGUGAGAGAAAGGCUACAGGCAAAACUAGCUGAAUCAUUAUGAAUACUGAACAGAAAGAAAUACCUAAAUUGGAAAAAACAACUGCAAACUCUCUAGGAAAACCAGUUUGGACAAAUGAAUGUUCAAAAUCAUUUGAGGCAAAAGCCCAGCAGUUAGAAAAAUCUGAUAGAAAAGGCUACAUUGAAAACUUGUUGUGAGAAUGAAAGUGAAUUGUAUAAAGCAUGUCAUUUUAUUAUGUAAGAAAGGAAGAGGAGGUUACCCAGGGAUCAUGCAGGAGAAAAUGACAUGUGUGUUAAAGCAGCUCUGUUAUGAAAUUCACCCCUUGUCGCCCAGCCUAUGUAUCUCUUCCUUUAAGUCCUCUUUUACAAUGAUCAUUGACUCUGAGAUCGGCGCUGUUUAUCUUUGCUUCUAUUGUGCUGCUUUCACCGGAUCUUCUUCUUUGGAUUAAUUUGGAAAUGAGCGAAAGCUGUUGUAAGAACAAAGUAUGAAGCUUCCUUGAUAAAGCCACUACAAUCAAUGACCAGACCAUACAAGCAACUUGAUUUCUGUUAUUCUAUGAGCUGUCCCUUCAUAAAAAGAAUGGCUGGGGGAGGCCCUCACCAUUACGACAAACUGGUGAGACAUAUGUGGUGCAUAAACUAAAUAUCUCCACUAGGAACCAACACACUCAUGCUGAUAAUAAAUUGGAAACAAAAGCAGAUUAAGGUGCCAGAAUGGUUGGAAAAGAGUGCACACAUGAAAGUGGCAAUGCCACAGGGCAGACCCUGUCAUAGAGUGCCAGUGUGGGAGAAGCACAUUGGCAGUUCCAGUUAAAGUAGCCCCAUUUUCUAAUGCUAGCCAAAAAGUAAUUGUGGUGGAAUCUAGGUAAAAAUAAAUUUAGUAGGCCGAGAUUACCACGUGGCAUGUGUACGUGCAUAUGCUGACGUAUCGAUCAGUUGGUUGCACGAGGCAAGAUACGAUCAGUAGUGUACGGAGCAUGUGCAAGAAUACAGGAUGUAGUAUUCCCCUCCUCCAUUGUGCUGGACAAGCCAUGCGGUCAAGCAGGAAGUUAAUUCUUAUUUGUAAUGAUUGGUCAAGAGAAUGUGCGGGUGGAGCUUAAUAUGGGAGGAGUUAUGUGCCUAUAUAGGGAGCCUGCACUAUUGUUCAGGGCUCAGAACUUGCUGUAUUUUUGGUGACAUUAGUCCCUCUGAGUCCCGAUCGGUGAUCCAAUAAAGAAUCUCUUCCUUCCUGAAGAAACCUGUGUCCAUCUCUCUGUGCUUUGCUUCCGUCAGUUUCUCCGGUAUCAUUUGGUGCAUUGGCCGGGAAGCUCAUCGUUCAACGGUAGCUGAGAGGCAGAGGCGUGAGACGGUCUAUCUUUGCCCACGUUCUCUACGGCUGCACCCCUGAACUUCUGCGUGGACCUCCCUUCGUCUCGGCGCCACUGGUCUGUUGUCCAGGAGAUCAUCGGCCUCUACGUAAGAAGUGCUGGGGUGUCCCCGUCGAUGAGUGUGAACUCAGGUUCAGGAACGAGGAGGUAAGACAACUGCUGUUUUAGACGGCAGACCCACUAGGGGUAUACCGAUUGUGAGGUAGGCCCAAAAGGGGUUUAAAUCUGUGUAUGGAAUCUGCCCCCUCUGUCGGAGGGAAGGAGCGAAGGCGCACCGCUCGAUCGAACGCUCUUUACUAAGACCGUUUGAUCUGGUUAGUCAGGCGGGGUCCUGUGUAAAUAGCCCUAGCCGGACAUCGGUGUCUUGUCUAGACUAGCGUUCUAGGGUGUAUAUUACGUUCGCUAGGUCGGAGGGACCGGGAGACUAAGCGGCGCCUGUGUAAAUUCGGUUCGCUAGCUCUCAACCUAUCUUGGCUAAGUGGGAAGGCGUGUAAAUUUGGAACCCACUAGACUUUUGAUAGAGUAAAUAGACUAGAAGGGCAAUUUUGUAAAUUCCGCCCUCUAGUUCGCUAUAUGUGGUGUUUGGGCAGUGUGGCUAACCAAAACGGGUGUAUAUAGUUUUAGGUAGUCCAUUCAAGGUACUGGCCAAUAGUUUAGUUGGGAUUGUAAAUGUGUUAAAGAUUGUUAGUAAAGUGUAUAUCUUGUUAGAUAGCGCGAGCUCAGCCGUCUAGCGAGAGUGUUAAUAGUGUGUUGCUGUAUCAUAGUGCACGGUACCAUAACCCUGUAUAUUUACUGACACUGUAUAUAAGUACUAAUCAUUGUCGUCUAUUGCAUGUUUAACACCGUAACCACUAAUAAUUGUAUUGUGACCUUAAAUUGUGCUUUGACCUAUGCUAACCGUACUGUAACCGAUACUAGUAAAAGACGAUGUUACUGGGGUGUGUUAUAGACGGGUAAUUCAUAUAUAGAGAAUUAUAGCGUGGGUGACUGUAUAGUUUCGCCAAAGGGCAUAAUAUUGAUUAUUUAGUGACUGGUGUAACAGCUGUGUGUGUACGGGAAUUCCCUGAGUGAUUAUUGUGUUAUUGUGUACGUUUCACUCGGUAACUGUACCACGUGGUGCUGUUGCCAGAGGAAACGGGUGUGACUGUUGAAUAAGAACGCGUGCAUAGUAUUCGUUGUCAACGACGUUCCAUUGAUAAGUAUGGGCGCGUCAGAGUCAACGAUUUCGGAUCCCUUAGGUUGUAUGGUAAAGAAUUUUAAAAAGGGAUUCAAAACAUGUGAUUUUGGGGUUAAAAUGUCUCCUGUACGUUUGGUCACUUUGUGCACUAGGGAGUGGCCUACUUUGGUUGCGGCAUGGCCGCCGCGUGGCAGUUUGGAUCCAACCCUGGUACAGCGUGUACACGUGGCUGUAUCAGGUAGGCCUGAACUUUACGGACAGUUUCCAUACAUUGAUUGUUGGAGGCAGGCCGUAAACGACUCGCCAAAAUGGAUCCGGAUAUGCCACGAGGAGCAAUGUCGCCUCAUGGUGGCCAGGACUUGUUUGUCCACUAGGACUGGUGUUAGGCCCAUUUUGGACACGCCCCCUGAGUCCGAGAUCCCUUUGCCGCCCCCUUACUUUCCUUUAAGAGGAAGUGACGCGAAUGCAGGAAGUUCUGCACCCCUUCCCCUAUUGCCCCCAUCCACUUCCGCUUCCUCCUCCAGUACAGAAUCCACCCCCCCUCGUAUUAAAACUCCCCUUCCGGAACCAGGACCAACCCCCAUUAGAUCUGAAUAUCCUGAUUUGGCGCCACUUCAAACUUCCGGUCAAGCUUCUUCUAGCUCGGCUCGGAGUAUACUAUUCACUAACUUUUCCCAAAAUCAAGUUCCCACAUCCUCAUGCCCUAUUACCUCUCGACCGGAACCUUUAACUGACGCCCCUCCACGUAGCCCCAUACUAACCCGACAACUGACCGGUACCCAACAAUUAAAACAUUAUCAGAUGCCUCUUCGUCUGAAUCCUGGGUCAGCCUAUAUCGAUGCCGCAGGUCAAAUGGCACAUGCUGACCCAGUCUUCGUAUAUGUCCCGUUCACGACUACCGAUCUCUUGAAUUGGAAGACCCACAAUUCCUCGUACACUGAGAAACCACAAGCUAUGACCGAUCUGUUCACCUCGAUAGUUCAGACACAUAACCCGACAUGGGCUGAUUGCCAGCAGUUAUUAAUGACAUUGUUCAAUAAUGAGGAAAGGACAAGGAUUAACCAAGCGGCCAUUAAGGCGCUAGAGGAGAGAGCCCGUGCUUUAAAUCAAGCCAAUCCGGCAGCAUGGGCCGCAACACAUUACCCUAACACCGAUCCUGACUGGAAUGUAAAUGGCGCAGAUAUGGCUCAACUUAAAGCCUAUAGAGCGCUAUAAUUGCUGGCAUGAAAGCCGGAGGGAAGAAAGCUAUUAACAUGUCGAAGACAGUUGAGGUGAUUCAGAAAAGUGAUGAAGCGCCCAGUGUCUUUUAUGACCGAUUAUUGGAGGCAUACCGCUUGUAUACCCCCUUUAAUCCGGAAGACGCUGAUAAUUCCCGAAUGGUAAACUCCGCCUUUGUCAGCCAAGCUUACGGAGAUAUUAAGCGCAAGCUACAGAAAUUAGAAGGGUUUGCAGGUAUGUCUAUCACCCAACUAAUGGAAGUAGCGAACAAAGUAUAUAUGAAUAGGGAAACAGAAAGUAAGAAAGAGGAAGAGCGCAAGAUGCGUAGAAAGGCAGAUAUGCUAGCGGUAGCGAUCGCAGGCGUAGAUAGACGGGGCCCAGAUAGAGGCGAUGGUAGAUGGAAUAGGGAGCCUUUGAGUAGGAAUCAGUGCGCGUACUGUAAGGAAGAAGGGCAUUGGAGGAACGAGUGUCCGCAAAGAGAGCAGUAUGAGAGAGACUUACCCAGGGCAGGUUACGGAAACUUUAGAGGCAGAGCGAGAGGUAGAGGAGGCCCCGGAGGGAGUAAUGGUAAUAGAGGGAGUAAUGGGAACAGAGGAAGUGUAAGGGAAGAUAGGUACUAUCCAGCAGCGCAAAGGUCCCGCGAUAGAGAAGGUAGGGACUUUGUGGGAUUGGCUGACACGGUCAUGGAGGACUAUUGAUACCGACCGGGCUCCAUCCCCCUUGGUCGAGCGGAGCCUAUGGUCGAUGUAUCAAUAGGGGGAAAAAGGAGUGCGUUUAUGAUCGACACUGGUGCUGAACAUUCGGUGGUGACUAAUCAAGUUGCUCCUCCAUCUGGAAGAACUAUUACUGUAAUAGGAGCAACUGGAAGAAGUGCUGAAAAACCGGUUCUUAAAAGUCGACUCUGUACAUUGGGAGGCCACGUAGUAAAACAUCAAUUCCUUUAUAUGCCUGAGUGUCCAGUCCAAUUGCUGGGACGUGAUAUGCUAUCCAAAUUACAAGCGCAGAUUACGUUCCUACCAAAUGGAACAACAUCCUUAAAGUUUAAUGGACCUUCAGGUAUUAUGACAUUGUCCGUACCAAAGGAAGAAGAGUGGCGACUUUAUACAGUGUUGACUAGCCAAAACCCGAGGAGUGAUGAAUCCUUAUUUAACAUACCAGGAGUUUGGGCAGAGAACAACCCACCAGGACUGGCCCACAAUAUUCCACCUAUUAAAAUUGAACUAAAACUUGGGGUUUAUCCAGUAAGCCUGAGACAAUAUCAUAUUCCGCAGAAGGCUAAGAAGAACAUCCAAUCUUAUCUGGAUAAGUUCAUACGGUAUGGUAUCCUAAAAUUCUGUACUUCCCCCUGGAACACCCCAUUGCUGCCUGUUCAAAAGCCCAGUACAGAUGAGUAUCGACCUGUGCAGGACUUGAGAGCAGUCAAUGAUGCGGUUGUUAGUAUACAUCCAGUCGUGCCCAAUCCAUAUAACCUGCUUGCUUUAAUUCCGGGCGGGGCUACUUACUUUACAGUCUUAGAUCUCAAAGAUGCCUUCUUUUGCCUCCGAAUUGCCGCAGAAAGCCAAUGUAUCUUCGCUUUCCAAUGGGAAAAUGCUGUAACGGGCUCGAAACGCCAAAUGACCUGGACAAGAUUGCCCCAGGGGUUUAAAAAUUCACCUACCCUAUUUGGUUCAGCUCUAAGUCAAGAUCUACUAGAUUUCGAGUCUAUCCCAGGAGAGUGUGUAUUAUUACAAUAUGUAGAUGACUUGUUGAUAGCAGCAGUUACAAAGGAAGUAUGUCAGCAAACGACGCACGAUCUACUACACAUUCUCUGGAAGGCAGGAUACAAGGUGUCUAGAAGGAAGGCUCAGUUGUGUUUGCCAACUGUCAAAUAUCUGGGAUUCCAUAUCUCUGAAGGUCAAAGAAUUAUGGGGCCAGAGAGAAAAGAAGCUGUGUGCCAAAUACCGAUACCCAGGAAUAGAAGACAAGUGCGAGAAUUCUUGGGGGCAGCAGGCUUCUGUAGGAUAUGGAUUCCCAGCUACGCGAUACUGGCAAAACCUCUGUAUGCAGCUAUCAAAGGUACAGAGCACGACCCCUUCUUAUGGACUCAAGAACAGCAAACGGCAUUCGAAGAUGUGAAGAGGGCUUUGAUGAGUGCCCCAGCAUUAGGUCUACCUGACCACACACGGCCAUUCUACCUGUAUGUACAUGAGCAAAGAAGAAUGGCUGUGGGAGUAUUGACACAGUACUUGGGAUCAUGGCAAAGACCUGUUGCCUACAUGUCUAAGCAACUGGAUGCAGUGGCCAGCGGACUUCCACCUUGUCUAAGAGCUGUAGCUGCAGCCGCCCUGCUAGUAGCUGAAGCCGAUAAACUCACUCUGGGUCAAGAACUUUAUGUACGAGUUCCACAUGCAGUACAGACGUUGUUGGAUUACAAAGGAAAUCAUUGGUUUAGUAACAGCCGUAUGACCAAGUAUCAAGCAAUGUUGUGUGAAAACCCAAGAGUGCAUUUAGAGACUGUAAAUACCUUAAAUCCAGCUACCCUUUUGCCACAACCUACUGAAAGUCAACAUGAUUGUUUGGAAGUAAUGGAUGAAGUAUUUUCAAGUAGACCAGAUCUUCGUGAUUUUCCCAUCCAGAACCCUGAUGUUCAAUAUUACACCGACGGCAGUAGUUAUGUGAAAGAAGGGAUCCGCUAUGCAGGAUAUGCAGUAACAACGAUAGACAAGGUGAUAGAAGCUCGGCCACUGGCAAAAGGAACAUCAGCACAAAAGGCAGAAUUGAUAGCACUGACACGAGCGUUACAAUUGGCUGAAGGUUUAGGAGUGAACAUCUACACGGACUCCAAGUAUGCGUUUUUAACCACUCAUGCCCACGGAGCUUUGUAUAAAGAAAGAGGACUAUUGAAUUCAGAAGGCAAAAAAAUCAAAUACGCAGCUGAGAUCCUACAACUAUUGGAAGCAGUGUGGGAGCCGAAAGAAGUCGGUAUUAUACAUUGUCGGGCGCAUCUGAGAGGAGAUGGUGAUGUAACCAAAGGGAAUCGGAUGGCAGAUAGUGCAGCUAAGCAUGCUGCUGAAUCAGGAAGACAGGAAUAUGUGGGGCAUAUAGCUGCUCUUAUACCAACUCCACUGUCUCAAUGGACUCCAAUUUAUACAGCUCAAGAAGAGGUGUGGUUAAGGACUGAACCUGGAAAGUAUUUGGAGAACAAAUGGUAUCAGUUAGAAGAUGGAAGAAUAGUUAUUCCAGCAUCACUAGCGGUAGAAAUUGUCCAAAACUAACAUAACGGGACACAUUCUGGGAGAGACAGUACAGAAGAAUCUCUCAGAAAACAUUUCUACAUACCAAGAUUGUCCAACUUGACUCAGGCCAUUGUACGUAGAUGUGUAGCGUGUGCUAAAAAUAAUGCAAGACAAGGACCAGUAAAGCCACCAGGAGUCCAGUUUAUGGGGGGACUUCCUAUGUCCGAUUUACAAAUUGACUAUACAGUGAUGCCUAAAUCGGGUGGACAUCGCUACCUGCUGGUAGUGGUGUGCACCUAUUCAGGCUGGGUAGAAGCAUGUCCUACUCGUACAGAGAAAGCAGGAGAAGUCAUGAGAUUCCUGCUACGAGAAAUAAUACCCCGAUAUGGACUACCCUGCUCUAUAGGAUCGGACAAUGGUCCAGCUUUUGUUCAUCAGUGCCUACAACAACUGACUCAUAUGCUUGGUAUAAAGUGGAGGCUUCAUACGGCAUAUAGACCCCAGAGUUCUGGUAAGGUAGAGAGAAUGAAUAGAACUAUUAAGAAUCAGUUGGCUAAAUGUGUCAGGAAACCCAACUUAAGUGGAACGUUCUCUUGCCCAUAGCUCUAUUGCGAAUCCGUAGUACACCUACCAGAAGGAUGGGCCUCUCUCCUUUGAAAUCAUGUACGGGCGACCACCUCCCGUGCUUGGUAACUUAAGGGGGGAUUUGAGUCAGUUGGGAGAAGGAAUUACCCGGCAGCAGGUUGUAGGGUUGGGUAAGACUAUGGAGGAGGUACAGAAAUGGGUACAAGAUAGAUUACCUGUGAAUAUUUAUCCCCCAAUUCAUAGUUACCACCCAGGCGACCAAGUGUGGAUUAAAGAGUGGAAUAAUGUGCCGUUAGGGCCCAAGUGGAGAGGUCCUUAUGUUGUUCUUUUGUCUACCCCUACAGCGAUAAAAGUAGCCGAAGUGACUCCGUGGAUACAUCACUCCAGGGUUAAACCAGCAGCAGCCGAUUCCUGGCAAGUUACAGCAAAUCCAGAGAAUCCCUGCAAGAUCCGGUUAAAACGCACGACUCAGUCGGAGUGACGAGGAACCUUGUAGAUUACAAAUUUUAUUGUUUCAGAGACUUGGUAAGUGAGUGAGAAGGCCAUAAUAAAGCCUGUCCACUCACCAACGAGUGUAUAAGUCAGGGAAAGUCUUGAGGGGACCCCUGUGAAGACGAGCAGAACUCCAUUCCCUGCAGUCCUUACAUCCUGGAAGCUGAGGUGCCUUCACACGGACGAAGACUGAGGAUGACGACGAAAGAUGUAUUUUUAAUAAUGUUUAUUUAUGUGUAUUUUUAUAUUCAGGAAGGUAGAGGUACCAACACUCCUAGCUGUGAGGUAUGCAUUAAGACUACAAGAACAGGUAACCAUAUAUCCCAGAUCCUAAUUUGGCAUUCGCAAUAUGAGUGUAAAGGAGAUGUAUCAAGAUGUAGAUACUUAAAUAUAGAAUAUAGUGUGUGUCAUUUAGGAGUAGGAGAACCUAAGUGCUUCAGUCCUGAGUAUCAACCCCGUACAAUUUGGUUGACUCUCAAAAAUGGAGAUCCUCAGGGGACCCUAAUUAAUAAGACGGUAUUAAAAUCCGUAUAUUCUUCAGGUGCUCUGCUAUUUGAUGCGUGUAAAGCAAUAUCAAGUGGUAGAAAGCCGUGGAAUGUAUGUGGGGAUCUUAGAUGGGAGAGGACGUAUGGGUCUAACGAUAAAUAUAUUUGUCCCAGUAGUAAAAAUAAAUAUGUAAGUCCAAGAUGCCCAAAUAGAGAUUAUAACUUCUGCCCAUAUUGGUCUUGUGUGGGGUGGGCGACUUGGGGACAGACAGCAGACAAGGACAUGAUUGUGACUAAGUUGCCUACUGAUCCAUAUUGUAAGUCUAUGGAAUGCAAUCCAAUCCAUAUACUUAUAAAUAACCCUGACAAGUUCUUAGAUAAAUAUGGUAAUUUAUUUGGGUUUCAAAUAUAUGGGACGGGUUUAGACCCUGGGACAAUAUUGUUUAUAGGGAUAGAGACUGAUACGGUAACCUCCCAAACUCAUCAAGUAUACCAUUCCUUUUAUGAAGAGAUGAGCAUAGAUAAUAAGAUCCCCCAUAAUGCUAAAAACUUGUUCAUUGAUUUAGCCGAGAGUAUUGCCGGUAGUCUUAAUGUUACCAACUGCUAUGUGUGUGGAGGUACUAACAUGGGAGACCAAUGGCCUUGGGAAGCAAAGGAGGUAAUGUCCGGUUCUGAGGCAGUUGACCAAUUAAUAUCUACACAAGCCGACUAUCAUAUGAGUGUUAGAGGUAAAUCUGAGUGGAGAUUGAAGACCUCCAUCAUAGGUUAUGUUUGCAUAGCGAGGAAAGGAAUGAUGUAUAAUACUUCUGUAGGAGAAUUAACUUGUCUAGGGCAAAAAGCUUAUGAUGAUGAUACAAAGAAUACAACUUGGUGGUCGGCUUCAAAUGUCUCAGAACCAUCUAACCCGUUUGCAAGAUAUGCCAAUUUAAAGGACGUAUGGUUUGAUCUAUCCAUCACAUCUAACUGGAGAGCCCCAGCGAAUUUGUACUGGAUCUGUGGUAAGAAGGCCUAUUCGGAGUUACCACAGGACUGGGAAGGGGCAUGUGUGUUGGGUAUGUUGAAACCAUCCUUCUUCUUGUUGCCUAUUGAAACAGGUGAGACUUUAGGUGUUAAAGUGUAUGAUGUGAAUCAUAGGAAGAAAAGGGGACCCAUAGAGAUAGGUGCCUGGGAAGAUAAUGAAUGGCCUCCCCAGCGUAUUAUAGAUUAUUAUGGGCCAGCCACGUGGGCAGAGGAUGGUACCUUUGGUUAUAGAACCCCUAUUUAUAUGCUCAACCGCAUUAUAAGGUUACAGGCGGUGGUUGAGAUCAUUACUAACGAGACAUCACAAGCGCUCAAUCUUCUAGCGAAGCAUAAUACCAGGAUGAGGACAGCAGUUUACCAAAAUAGAUUAGCCUUGGAUUAUCUUUUGGCAGUAGAGGGAGGUGUAUGUGGGAAGUUUAACCUGAGCAAUUGCUGUCUUCAAAUAGAUGACGAAGGGCAAGCAAUAGCUGAGCUUACUAGCCAUAUGGUUAAACUAGCGCAUGUGCCUACUCAGGUAUGGAAAGGGUACAAUCCAAGUAGUUGGUUUGGUAGCUGGUAUGAGUGGUUUGGAGGGCUUAAGGCAGUGGUAGGUGGAGUCCUACUGAUUUUAAUGUUGUGUCUACUCCUGCCGUGUCUUAUACCCUUAGUAGUUAGGUCUGUGCAAAGCCUGAUAGAAAAUAUAGCAGAGAGGAAGGCUGCUGCACAGAUAAUGGCAAUUUAUAAAUAUAAGGCUCUAGAUCAGGGAGAACCAAUGCAGGAAGACGAGUGUUGAAGAUUCAUAUCAUAGGAUAAGUCUGGUCUGGUUCAAAGGUAACUUGUGGUGUAUGCAAACCAAGGUUAAGUGAUGCCUCAAGUAAUUGUAAAAUAUCAAGAGGCAUCAAAGGGGGGAAUGUGGUGGAAUCUCGGUAAAAAUAAAUUUAGUAGGCCGAGAUUACCACGUGGCAUGUGUACGUGCAUAUGCUGACGUAUCGAUCAGUUGGUUGCACGAGGCAAGAUACGAUCAGUAGUGUACGGAGCAUGUGCAAGAAUACAGGAUGUAGUAUUCCCCUCCUCCAUUGUGCUGGACAAGCCAUGCGGUCAAGCAGGAAGUUAAUUCUUAUUUGUAAUGAUUGGUCAAGAGAAUGUGCGGGUGGAGCUUAAUAUGGGAGGAGUUAUGUGCCUAUAUAGGGAGCCUGCACUAUUGUUCAGGGCUCAGAACUUGCUGUAUUUUUGGUGACAUUAGUCCCUCUGAGUCCCGAUCGGUGAUCCAAUAAAGAAUCUCUUCCUUCCUGAAGAAACCUGUGUCCAUCUCUCUGUGCUUUGCUUCCGUCAGUUUCUCCGGUAUCAUAAUAAAUAUGUAACUGUUUCUAUCCUUCCAGAACAGCUUUUGGCAAAUCAAGACAGUACAUGCAGUGCUAGUGAGGAUUGUUCACCAUGAGGUUCCCCAGAUACAAGUUAAGGGUUCCCAAAUGGAACCUAGAUAUUAUUCCUGCCCCGCCAUACUGGUUUGCCAGACACAAUACCAGCACCAGGGGGACAGGAAAAGGUAGAAACAUGGCCUGCUAACAGCACUAUUGAUAUUCUCAUGUCUGUCUUGUAUCAUAGUCAGAUGGCGAUGUGCAAAUGUCAGCUGACUACCUGAAGGUAUACUGCUGAGUGCUGCAGUCCUGAGUAUAUUUAAUAUCACUCACGAUACAGCCAAAACAGGCAGAUGGAAAGAACAAGUUUGCUUCAGGAAAAAAAACUAUUCACAGUGAAUUUGAAACCAAACCUUUAAUAGAAAAAAGAGAAAGUCCAAGCAAUAUAUCCAAACAAGGGCCAAAUAGAAACUAGAAUCAGACAUCAGGGCAGGCAGCAAACACUGAGGUCAGAAGGCAAGCAAAAGUAAGGAAUCUGUAAAGACAGGGAGCACUGAGUAAAUAACUCUAGGAGUUCUGAUACAGGCAACAAAACAGCACUGACUGUUAGGUGUGCUCUGCUCAUGAAGGGCUGCUUGAUCACAGCGGGGUCUGUCCUGUAGAUGGGGUUACUAAGGUUCAAUUCAUUAGACGGUAGGCUCAUCAUCAUCAUCCUUCCUUGAGUGCAUUAGCCACAGGCACCAUAACCUCUGUGGACCAACCUGCAGGGCAGCGCAGAUGUUCUGAGUGUCACAAUCUCCAUUGUGACAUGUGUAAUGCCAGCUGGAUUUACCUUCCUGGUGGCUUUGAACCCUGGACUCUGGCUUCUUGAAUCCUGCUCUUUUGCCACUGAGCUAUCCAGACAUUCAUAGUAUCACCUUAAUAGGUGUCCUUGCCUUGUUUCCAACACUGGGAGCCGAACUUACCCGUGGCUGCUCUAGCACACCUGUAACCCGUAUUGAUUGGCUGGAUAUAAAAGCCUGCCUCACCCUGGGGAAGGGUGUCAGUUCAUUGACUCUGGUUCCCUUGUUUGGUUCCUGUCUCUCUGUAUCAGCGUUCCAGUAUUUCCUGUUUGAUUCUGGCUUCUGACCUUGGAUUUCCUCCUGGACUACUCUGAUCUCUGGCUUCCCCUGACUUUGGCUUUCCUUGACUACGCUUCUGCUAAUCCCUGCUGUACUGCUACUUGGAGCACUAUUCCUGGAAAGCCCCCAUGCACAGACUCACAGGUCAGGUGGCGUCUUACCUGGUCACCCUGGUCUGUGUCUACUUUGCAAGGGUGAGCAUAUAACUCUGCGAGCCAGACUCCCCAUCAGGUAACACUCCUGACAUAGGGUUCUGGGUAUGUAUGUUCCAGGAUUGGAUGUACUGCUCCUUUAAAUGCCAAUGAACAUCUCUGCAAAUCCAUAACAUUCUGGGACAGGUUGGAGACUUGCUCAGCCAGGGAGAUGAGUAAUUUGUAUAACUCUGCACACUCCAUAGGGUCAGUUCAUUAAGUCAGGAGUCUUACCUGAUGGGGAGUCUGGCUCGCAGAGUUAUACGUUCACACUUGCAAAGUAGACACAGACCAGGGUGACCAGGUAAGACGCCACCUGAUCUGUGAGUCUGUGCAUGGGGGCUUUCCAGGAAUAGUGCUCCAAGUAGCAGUACAGCAGGGAUUAGCAGAAGCGUAGUCAAGGAAAGCCAAAGUCAGGGGAAGCCAGAGAUCAUAGUAGUCCAGGAGGAAAGCCAAGGUCAGAAGCCGGAAUCAGACAGGAAAUACUGGAACGUGACACUGAGACAGUUGAGUACCGGUGGUUUAUGUGACAAAUACAUGACAAUAUGGGUUGCAAUGACAAUAAGCCAGAAAACUUCAUAAUACCAUAAUGAUGACCAAGCAGCCAAUUCUACUUACACUGAUAAGAAGAGGUGGCCAAUGGAGCCCAAGAGGAUGGUAGCAAACAAAGAAUUGCACAUGUUCAGUAAAUAGAACCUUUAUCAAAAGCUGGAGUUAAGAACUACCACGUUACUAGGGAGAUCUCUCUUCAACACCCAAAAGCAGAAACGUGUACAAAUGCCAACCAGAAUAGUACCAGAAGCAAGGUCUCUUGAAAGACCUGGAUUCGAGAACUAAAGCCAAUAUGGACCAGAAGAGUACCAGCAUCAUUGAACAACUUAGUCAACAGCAGACAUAUAGUAAACCCCCCCCAAAAAAAGUUACCUGCGCUCUUUCCUUAAUCUUUAUGUAUAUUUAAACAAAUGGAGGUCAAGGCAGACCCCCUAACCUGGUCUACACUGACCCUUCGCCUUGCCUCCCUGAGCCUCUGCCAAAGAUAUCUCUAAUGAGACAGAGAGGGGUAUUUUUUAUAUAGACCCCCAGGGGCGGACUGACCAGUCGGGCACUUCGGACAUGGUCCAAGGGCCCAGCCGGGAGGGGGGCCCGCCGCCAGCAGGGGGCCCGGUGGCAGGGCCAGUUUGGCCCACCGGGGCUGUGGCAUCUGGGGGCUAAGCAAGUAGGUGCCACCGGGUGGGCAGUCUGGUGGCACACUCUGAGGGGGCCGGCCGCGUUCCACGCUGGAGCUGCUGGGACGGGUGGCAGCCUCGCCGGUCUGGCGGUACUCCUGUCCUGUCACUAACACUGAGGACUGAAGGAGGGAGGAGCAUGUCUCCCUUUCAUGCUCCUUUGUGGUUCCCACAAUUCCCAGCACAGCAUCCUGUGCUUGGAAUUGUGGGAACCGCAAAGGAGCAUGAAAGAGAGACAUGCUCCUCCCUCCUUCAGUCCUCAGCGUUAGUCCUCAGCGUUAGUGACAGGACAGGAGUACUGCCGGAUUGGCGAGGCUGCCGCCCGGCGGCUCCAGCAUGGAACGCGGCCAGUCCCCUCUAACUCAUGUCGGUAAAUGGGAGGGGGGGAAAUAAAACAGAGAGGGAAUAGAUAGAGGCAGGGGAAGAAAGAGACAGUGGGAGAAUAGAGAGACACAGGGGGAGGAGGGAGAAAGAGACAGAGGGGGAAGAAUGAGACACAGGGGAAGAAAGAGGGGGAAUAGAGAGAUGGGGGAGAAAGAGACAGAGAGGAAGAGAGAUGUGGGGGAGAGAGACACAGGGAAAGGGUGAAGAAAGAAACAGUGGAAGAGAGAGACAGGGAGAAAGGAGAGAGAUUCACAAGGGGAGGGGGAGAAAGAGGCAGAGGGGUAAGAGAGACUGGGAAGGAGAGGGGAGACAUGGACACAGGAGCAGUGAGGGGGAAAAAAAAGGCACACAGAGGGGCUGUAUAUAUCACUGGUGGAUCCAGGGGGGCAACGGGGCAAUUGCCCCCCCCCUCCCCUGCCGGCCAAUCUCUCUCCCCGGUCCACAGGCACGGUGCGGGCAGCCGGCAGGGGAGGCAGGAAGAGAGGACCCGGGAGCACAGCCUGCAGCUCAUCUGGGUCCUUCUUGCGUGAGCACAGAGCGUUGCCGCGGUUACCACAGCAACGUUACGGCUCUCGCGAGAGUCAACUCUAGCCCUGGUCGCAGCGGUGAGAGUUAACUCUAGCCCCAUAAACACACUGCCCCCCAUACACACACACACUGUCCCCACACACCAUACACAUUUACACACAUUGCCUCACACACUGGAAACCACACACAUACACUGCCCACCCAUACACACAUAGCCCCCUCAUACACACAUUGCCCCACACACCCUACACAUUCACACACUACACCCCCCCAACACACUACACCCCCCCACAUUGCACCACUGAUCCUAUACCCUACUACAGCCCCAUAUCCCAGCAGACCCCAGGUAAGUUGUCAAACUGUUCUUAAACAGUUUGACUACUUACUCUGGGAGGGGGUCCCGGCCCUCCUGGCACCAUAACCACUACACAGAGCAGUAGUGGUUAUUGUGCAUGGAUUAUUUCUUUAAAUAAUCUACAAGUGCCCCAGUAGCCAGCAAGCCCGCAGGCCAGCCAGCCAGCCCACCGGCUAGCCAGCCCACAGGCUGGCCAGUAGCCAGCCAGCCCACAGGUGAGCCAGGCCAGUAGCCAGCCUACAGACCUACAGCAAGCCACAGGCUUACAGCCAGCAAGCCCACAGCCUGCCAGUCGUAGCCAGCAAGCCACAGCCUGCCAGCCGCUGCCAGCAAGCCCACAGCCUGCCAGCCGCUGCCAGCAAGCCCACAGCCUGCCGGCAGUAGCCAGCAAGCCCACAGCCUGCCGGCAGUAGCCAGCAAGCCCACAACCUGCCAGCAAGCCACAGCCUGCCAGCCGCAGCCAGCAAGCCCACAGACUGCCAGCCAGCAACAGUAAUUAAGGUAAGAGGAGCCAACUUGGCCUAGGUAUCAGCGAGCUAUGUUGUGUUGCUAUAUUGUGAAUAGGAACCAGAGUGUUGGAGAGACCCCCCUCCAGGCCCCAUUAGACUCCAUUGUAGUCUCUAAUGGGGCUUGGAGGGGAUUCUAUCUAACACACUCUCUAAAGGACACUGACAUAGCCUCUGCUAGAAAGACCCCCCUCCAUGGCCCAUUAGCCCUCUACUGGGGCCUCGAAGGGAUUAUUGCACUUUUGUUCCUUGUGUCUAAAGAUUGUGUAGGGUGUGGCUGGAGGCGGGACAAGGGUGGCGCUUGCUGCGGAGCAUGGGUGGGGCCUGUAAGGGGGCCCUUGAUUUAUUUUGCCCGGGGGCCCUGAGGGUUCUCAGUCCGCCCGUGUACACCCCUAUACAUUUAUUAACCCUUUAUUAGGGAACAUAUAGGAUGGGUGGCAGCAUUGUAACAAAGCUGUGUGAUACAAAAAGUGAAUACAAAUACAAAAAGAUAAGUCCUGCACUCACUCUCAUCACUUCUGGGCGGCAGCAAUGAUGUUGAUGUGAACUGUGGUCGUUGCUGCUGCCCAUGAGUGAUGGGAGUGAGCACAGGACUUAUCUUUUUGUAACAGCAGACAUAUGCCUAUUAACCAAAAGUCUCUAAAUCGAUAGUCAUGCAAAGAGAUUCUAAAUAAGCAAAUUUGAUUACUGUCUCUAGUAUUAAGGAGUGGGAUAUAUUUUCUUCUCUAGGACAAAUUCCUUAAAACAAGACAAUACCCAACAGCUUGACAGUGAUACUGUGCUAGUGGUUUACAGGGAUAUUAUUGGUUAUCUAUGAGUGACAAUGCAGUAAUGAGGGGCAAACCAUACAUUUUAAUUUACUUCUAGGAGUGCCCAUUAUUCAGGGGGUCAAUGGGGUUCAUACCACUAUCAAAUAAAUUCGAAAGAACCUCUUAGAUUAUUACAUUCAAACAUGUUGAUCUGAAAUAUAGGUAACAUGCAGUGUACGUGUGGGUCAUCUAGCGAUUUAAUGUCAUUCAUUAGGGAAUGUUAUUAUUGAAAAUAAGAUGUUCUCUCCCUUCUACAGAUAGGUGGUGAGCUGAAGGUGUUGUGGUUUCUAGACUUUGCGAUCUUUACUUGGACUCUUUAUUAGUUCGUUUCAACUGAACGACUUGUUACUUUAUCUUGCUACGUUGGGCUUACAACAUGGAGGAAACAAGUGCCGGCUGACAAAUAUGUAGGGACAUAUAGUUUGGAAAUACUUUUAGACUGUAACAGGGACCAUGCGGCACUUGCACCCUUUCUGCUUGCCUAGAACUGACAAAAUACAUGUUUACCAAAUUAGGAGAUCCCCACUCCCUCCAAGGCCUUGGAAUUUAUGUUCUAUUAUUAUUUUCACUUUUUCAAACCCCUUUUUUUGCUCUGACAGAAAUUCAAACAUCAGAUAACAGCCUCUAUCUACACCGAUUCCCUCAGCAGUGUCUGGUGAGUCACAGAGCAUUUUGUUAUGAGAAAUUGCAACUUUUGAUACUAACAGUUGCAAUCUCUCUCGGACAUACUCUAUAUCUGAUUAAUAUGGAUUAAUGAGCACCUUUCCCCCUUGUAUCCUGUGUCACACUACACAGUUGAUUAAGUAAUGUCAGGAUGCUCUAUUAUAACAGCUGGCCUUUGAUCCUGAUUUGGAUAUUCUUGUCCCCCCCACCCCCCCACACUCCAUAUCUUUAUGACUGUUGGAAAGUGUUUGUUUAAUCAAGUAGCAUCUCUUGACCAGCUAAUGCCAAAUGUUCUUUAAGUUCUGGACAUGACUGUAUUAUGUGAAGACAACCCCUUUUUGGAUGUGUAAAGAUCUGUGUUUUCCCCAAUAAAAUUAGGUGUAGUAUUCUAACAUACACUUUUGUGAACGAGUAUUGCCCUCCGAGCUCGUAUUUCUGCUGUGUCCAUUCCUUGUCUUCAUACCUGAGAGAAAACAUUGCUGUCUGCUGAAUUUAAACCACAACAAUAUCCUAUUUAGAAGUGCCAAUUUUAUUUUGGUUCUUAACUUUUUUUUUUUUAAUUCUUUAUUUUUCACUCGAUAGAACAAGUUUGUAACAACUUUUGGGCUUUCGCAGAAGCCUUCUGAAAUUUAGGUUUUGUAAAUAAAGUGCAAUUCAAACGGUACAAUUUCAACAGUACAAUGCAUGCACAAUCUUUUUUUUUUUUUGUAAAUCUGUUUUUAUUAGAUAAAGUAAUGAUAGAACAGCUUAUUUCGAUUCAAAUUUGAGCAGGUUGAGGUCACGCACGACCUGUGUGUAUCUGCUACAUUAUAAUCAAAUGCGUAUCAAGUAUAACAUUCAGUAACGGUAACAAAUCAAUCGUCAUCUUACAUCACGGCAGUGUAAACAACCAAAACUCGGUAUUCAGUAAAUAACUUGUACAUGGUUCCCACCGUUUCCCCUCGAGAUAUAUGUAUGUAGCGCGGGUGGUCAGCCACGAGCUCUCCAUGUCGUGUUUGUGGAUUAUCGUUAGGAACAUGGAUACCUGUGAGGGUUGACAUUGUACGCGAAAUGGGUGUGGUAGCUAGGUGUUGUGUCAGUUACCCGUGAUCUUAUUGAUCUUAUGUUUCAGUGCGGUGACUGUGGUAAGGAUUCAGAGUUUCCUUGUCUGAGCUACCUUAUCAUUCCUUGUUCCAUGUAUCUGUGUAUGAUUCUACUUUAUUUGGCGGUGUAUCCGUGAAUUGUAAUUAAGGUGUUGGUUUUUCUUUUCUUUUUUCUUUUGACAUGUUACUGUGGCGUGGUCGUCUUUGAGUUAGCUAUGUGUAUGUGUAGAUGGUAAAGAGAGUGAAUUGAAAUCACGAGAGCUGUGAUAGAGAAGAAAGAAAAGAGCGAGGGUUAGGGAGUCUCGAUAUGAGAGGAGGUAUGGGUUCCGCUCAGACGGUCCGGAUUCUCCCCCGCGAGCCUCCCCCCCGCCCUACUGAUUCCUGGAUACAAAUGCGAACCAUGGACGCCACAGCUCUGCGUGUCUAUCCCCCCUGCCCAGCAGAGAUGCUUGCAUCGCCUCCGCCCCCUGAAUGCUCUUCACUCUACGGAUCCACUCCUCCGCGCCGGGGAUCUCUGUCUUUUUCCAGUAUAUAGGAAUCAGAGCUCUAGCUGCAUUGAGUAGAUGGCGUAGUAUCGACUUUUUAUAUCUUGCGAUCGACAUGAAGGAGUGCUGGUGUCCGAUACCACAGUGCGAUAAUUUUAUAGUUGGUUUCUUGGUAGAGUGAGCUGAUGGAACUCUUGUGUUGAAAGAGUAAGGCGUUCUCCCAUUGCGAGGAUGUAAAGGUAGUGUUGAGCAUGGUCUCCCAUUGCCUGCGAAAGGUAUUAUUUUCUGUGAGGUGUCCGACUAAGAGGUGAUGGUAAAGCGUGGAUAUUGCCUUCCCCACAGGGGUGCCCCUUUCGCACAGUGUCUCGAACCACGAUAGGGCUCUAUGUAGGCGGUCUUUAUCAUGCAUGCUUUUGUAAAAGUGUUUCACUUGCAUAUAUCGGAAUGCUGUUAGAGGGGUCCGGGGCGUGUCCCCUAAUAAGGAGUCUAAGGUCCGUAUAUCGCCGUUCUGUAGUAUCUUGGUGAUUGGGACAUAUUUGCAUCCCCCUCCAAAGGGCCACGAUGUUGAUGUAAGUCCCCCCCUACUGCGUCAUUAUAAGUGAUGGACAGCAGAGGGCUUGGUGUGGGCGAGAUGUGCACCUGCUCCCUCAUGCGUCUCCAGCUGGUGAGCGUUUGUGCCACAAUUCCUUCGUUUUUCCCGUUUUUUUUAAGUUCGCAUUUGCCCGUUUCCCCCACACCACAGCCUGUAGGUGUGCCCCCUGUCCCUCUUGUGCCAGGGUUACCCAUUGUUUCGCUGCUGCGGGUCUGCGUGCCAUUCUAGGAUGCAUUGGAGGACAGUGGCUUGGUGGUAUAGUUUAAAAUCGGGUAAUGCCAGGCCUCCUCUAUGCCGUGGUAAGCAUAGGAGUUCAUGAGUCUCAAGCAUUCACCCCUCCAAACGUAGCGGAUGACUGCUGCUUUCAAUUUGUUACAAGAAGGAUGAAGGUAUUGCCAUCGGGGUCGUCUGGAACGGAUAUAGGAGUCUGGGUAGGAUGUUCAUUUUCAGGAUUGCAAUUCGUCCAUGCCAGGAGAAAUGGGAGAUAUGCCCAUUUAUUUAAGUCCGCCAGUAUUGUCUUCAGUAGCGGUGUGAAGUUUUGUGAGUACAGGUCGUUCGGGUCCUUGGUUAUCCAUAUCCUGAGGUAUUUCAUUUUACAGGCAUUCCAGUGUUGCGUAUUCUUCCUCCGGGAGGAAACAGGGAUUCCAGUGUUGCGUAUUCUUCCUCCUGGAGGGUGACAUUUAGCACUUCAGAUUUGGAUAGGUUAAGUUUAAAACCCACCAUCUUGCCAAAUUGUGCCGUUACCGCCAAGAUGUUGGGCAUCGUAAUUCUGGGGUUGGUAACAAAGAACAUGAGGUCAUCCGCGUAUGCGGCCACUUUAUGUUCCGUUCCCUACCAGGAGAAACCCCGAAUGUCUGGAUGUUGUCUGAUCGUCUGUAGCAGUGGUUCCAGAGACAGGGCAAACAGCAGUGGUGAUAGUGGGCAGCCCUGCCUCGUGCCGUUGGAAAUCUCAAACUGCACAGUGAGUGCUCCGUUUACCCUCACCGUAGCCUGUGGUUUAUUAUAGAGUGCGCGGAUCCACGUGAGGAGUCUGGGUCCCAUCCCCAUGUGGCUUAGGGUAGCGAGCAUAUAGGGCCAUUUCACCCGGUCAAAAGCCUUUUCGGCGUCUGUGGAGAGUAAUAGAAGAUGUUUUCGCAUCGUUCUCGCUCUGUAUUGUAUUGCAAACAGCCGCAGGGUAUUAUCUUGUGCUUCCCGACCGGGUAUAAACCCUGUUUGGUCCGCGUGAAUUAGUGAAGGGAGGGCCCUUGGGAGCUUAGUCGCCAGAACUUUAGUGAACAGUUUAGUGUCCACGUUUAGCAAGGAUAUCGGGCGGUAGCUGCCGCACGCCAUUGGGUCUUUCCCGGGUUUCGGCAGUACAGUUAUUAUGGCUGCCAGGGAUUCUCUUCCAAACGCUUCCCCUUCGGCCACUGCAUUAACAGCUUUAGUCAGCCAUGGCAACAGGAUUGAUGAGAAGGUUUUAUAAUAUCCUGAUGAGAGGCCGUCUGGGCCUGGGGCUUUUCCCGUUUUAGUAGAUUUCAGGGCUGCCUGAAUGUCCUCCGCUGUAAUCAUGGCGUCCAACUCCUCUGCUGCGUCUGGGCGUAUUGCUUUCGUCACAGUAUCUCUUAAGUAUUUUUGUGUUCUGCUAAGGUCGGCUUCCCUGUCCUCCCGUCUGUCCCGAUCCUGUAGGUUGUAUAGCGAUUGGUAGUAGCGCCCGAAUUCUUCGGCUAUUUGGUCCGGAAAUGCCGUUGCGGUGACUGAAGAGAGGCGCACGGUGCGGAUUUGCGUGCGAGGGGGCAUUGCCUCUCAAGAGCCAUGCUAGGUAUCUGCCACCUUUGUUGGCAUGGGUGUAAAAGAAUCCUUUGGAUUGUUGUAAAGCUCGUAGGUGGCGUUUUGUAAGGAGAUCUCUCAGUUGGCGUCUGGCUUGCAUUAAUUCUCCGUAUGUUUCCAUUAGCUGGGUCCUCUUGUGUUGUUGUUCCAGUGUCGCGAUGAACUUGUAGAGCUCCGCCAUUUCUCGAGAAGCUACCUUUUUCUUUUUGGAGGCUAUUCGGAUGAGUGUGCCCCUGAUGACACAUUUGUGGGCUUCCCAUAUAGAGACCGGUGAGGCGUCCGGCGUGUCAUUUUUCUGAAAGUAGUGUGUCAGUUCUUCGGUUACUUGCCCACGAGCCUCAGGAUCAAGAAGGAGGGCUUCGUUGAGUCUCCAAGUCCAUGUGCAGGGUCGGAAGAGUGGUGAUUCGAGCUCGAUGGUGACGGGGCCAUGGUCUGACCACGUCGCUGGGUCAAGUUUGGCGGAGAGUAGGCGUGUUAAUCCUAUUUGUCUUAUGAAGAUGUAAUCGAUACGUGAGUAUCUAUUAUGCAGCACGGGUAGUAGGUGUAGUCCCUAGUGGUGGGAUGGAGGGUCCUCCAGCAAUCCACAAGAUCCAUGUCUCCUAAGGUCCUCUGUAUGGAGCGUAUAUUGAGUUAGGUGAUGCUACUGUGGCCCAUCGACGAGUCUAUGAUGGGGUUUAAGGGUGCGUUAAGGUCACCCCCGAGGAUUAGUGUGUCCUCGUAGAAGCCUUUAAGCUUGUCUAGCGUAGUCCUGAGAAACUGGGCUUGUCUUUUAUUGGGUGUGUAAAUAUUAGCGAGUGUGUAGAGCAUCCCCGCAAUUGUCCCUUUCAAGAAUAGGAAGCGGCCCUGGUCAUCCUGCAGGUUAUCCAGCGGUUGGAAUUCCAGGUCUCCAGCGCUUAAAAUGGCAACGCCCGCCCUCCGGGUCGUAGGGUGAUCACAGAAAUGGUUUAUCGGGUAGUAUUUAUUCUGUAGUUUGAGUGCAGCGUUCUUUCGGAAAUGUGUUUCCUGUAGUAGUGCGAUUGAUAUGUGUCUUUUCCUCAUCUCUUGCAACAUGUGAGUUCUUCGUUCAGGUACAUUUAGGCCCCUGCAGUUGAGGGUGAGGACAGGCAGGGGAGCGGGGCGAUACGCUCUCGCGGCCCUGGGUACAUCGCCGCUGGCCAUUGUUUGGUGUCCACCCCUCCGCCGCAAUCAGCUCAUGGUAGAAACCCGGACACCCGUUGCGCCCCCCAGGCAAGAGAGCAGUAGUGAGGUUGGGCCGGGAGGGGGGUGAAAUGGAUGUGAGUGAGUGAGUAAGAUAUCGGUCAUAUGACAUGCGGCUUUCGAGUCGUGUGUGUGGAGUGUGUCGCCAGAGAAUAGUGGGCCAAGCUUGAUCUUGGGCUGUAACAGGAAGUCCAUGUGGCAAACCUAGCCACUCGGACUAUAACUGGACACUAUGCCUUUAAGGGUUGCCUAUAGGUCUGGAGAGAUAUGCGUUUUACCUGUAUGUGUCUGCUUCAUGUAUUCCCUGCAUUGCCUGUACCUAUCUGUUCCGCCGAAUGCAAAUGGCGGUUUGUAUGGGGAUUCUCGUUCGUUUCACGAACGGCACUUUGGAGGGCCGUUCGUGAAACGAAUGCGAUACCCCCUAAUAGCCCACACACUUAGAGGCGUGUGGCGCUAGUUAACCGAUUGCAACAUUGUUGCAAUCGGUUAUUAGAGGCUCUCCUGGGUGGCCGUCGUUCGACUACCGACCAUGCGGCGGUCGGCCAUCUUGGAUCUUUUGUUCCCCAGCGGGGUUAUGUCGUCGAGCACCUGGUACUAAAAACGGCUACUCGACGGCAUGAGCCCCGCUGAGCCUCCAGGACGUUCGGGAGUUUCGGGACGUUCGGUAUUUUGUUCCCUAAUAGCAAUCGGUUCUUUUUGUAUGUUCUAUAUGAAUUGUGUUGUUCGUGCGGCGUUCGGUUAUUUUAGCUGGGAUCUGAGCGGUAAUCUCACGAAUGAUACCCUCAGACCCCAGCUAUCUGCCGAACGUCCAUUCGUGUAAAUCCACUAUAUAUUCACCAAGUUAUUGAUUUUUAUGUGAAUUAUCGGUUCUGCUGCACGAGGGGAUAAUCCACUUAACGGUGCAUUCUGGGAAGACUAUCCCUCUCGUGCAGCGGUGCCUGAUGGGAGAAAUAUGGUAUAAUGUAAGUCCCCCAUGUAGUCCCCUCCUGUACAACCCCUGUAAUGUCAGUUUGGAAACCCCUUGCAUGGGGAACUGCAUAAAUACUGUGACCUGUGAUUAAAACCUCAGUUGACUCCCAGCCUAUGUGUCGUCUAGUUCUUGGGAAGGAAGGGUUACUGCAGUGCUGUUUGGAUUAUGGUAUGCUGAUUCCCUGGAUUAUCCUUUGUUGUUCCUGUUACCCAGCGGAGAUAUCGCGGAUUAUACUGCCUCUCCGCUACAGUCCAUAUAUUGUGGCCCUUAAGAGCAGGGUUAAGACCGAGCCCCCUCCAUCCCUGUCCCAGUAAUCUCGACUCAUGGCAGUCUUGAACAUAUUUGAUCAAUUCCCCCCCCCCCCGUUACCCCUCCUCCCAAAAAAGUCAUUAUUAUGGCUAUGUACAUGUGUGGGAAGGACAUGGUGGUAUGUCUUCCAUCCCCGAGGAAGCCACUAGGUAGUCUCGUGUGGUUCCCCCCAGCAUCAGGAUUCUGUUGUGUGAGGAGGACCUGCGUGUUAAUCAGAGGUAGUGUGUUACCUUUCUGGGCGCUGCCAAGGGCCGGUCUCCAUCGCGAUGUUAAUGUACUCACUCAGCCUGCUCCCCCCGCCCCAUGCAUCUCCGUGGUGGCGGUCCUGGCGGUGAUCGCCCUCCUCGUCUGCGAGGUGCUCUUUGUUGCCUUUGGCCCGGCCUUGAGGCAUCCAAGACCCAGUCAGUAAACGGGAUGUGAGGUAUGUUCAAGGUUUCGAGGAGUCUCGGCACUUCAUCAGGCAUUCUAGCUGCCAGCCAGUUGUCUUGGUGUCAAGCCAUUAAGGUGAAGGGGAAUCCCCAUUUGUAUUUGAUGUUGCUUUCACGUAGUGCGGUGGUUAUCGGUUUAAGUGCUCGCCGGGCUUCCAGCGUGUAUGGAGAGAGGUCAUUGUAUAGGGAUACUUGAGCGCCCUGGAAGGGCCAUGUGGGACGUUCCCGGGCUUUCCGCAUUAUUGCGUCUUUGAUUGGGAAUGAAUGCAGGCAACAAAUCAUAUCUCUUGGGCCAUCCUCACCGGAGCGCGGGCGUAGGGCCCUAUGUGCCCUUUCAAAUUCAAUCGUUUGCGGUGCAUCGUUGUGUAGGAUGUUGCGAAAUAGACCUGUUAAUGCCUCUUCUGCGUUUUCUCCCUCUUCAGCUUCGGGGAUCCCCCUAAUCCGUAUGUUGCAUCUACGGCCUCUGUUAUCGAGGUCCUCCAGGCUUCUGCGCAUAUGAAGAAUCAUGUCCCCCUGCCUGGCUAUGGCGAUGUCCGUCGCGUUGAUCCUGGUGGAGUGAGUUUCUGAGGUGUGUUCUAAAGUCUGGAUGCGGCCUGCUUGGGCUGUUACCUCCGUGCGGAGCCCUGCCAUCUCUGCCCGCAGAGCAUCUUGAAUGGUGGUAGUGAGUGUUAGGAGGUCUGCUUUAGUCACCAUGGCCGCUGCCAUGUUUCUCAGCUCUUCCCCAAUCCUUUCUAGUGCCGGGGUGUCUUCCCCCGUCGCCUGGGUCGAGUGUUGUGCUGCCGGGCCAGGGCUUUCAUUCCCGCCGCCAUUCCCACGCGGCGGCUGUAAAAAGCCGUCCAUCGGUCCUUGUUGAGGGCCUGGUUGGGGAUCCCUUUGGGUUUGCGGGUAUUCUGAGCGGCGGUUGCGACCCAUUUGUCCCACUGGCUUAUGUGGGAUCGCUGUUUGAAGGUAUCGGUGCAGCGGAGCUCAGUGUUUAAGCGGCCAUCUUGGUUGGUGUCCAGGCCACGCCAUGCAUGCACAAUCUUGAACCCAUUGGAAUCAGUCUCCCAUCGAGGGUUGAAAACUCCCGAAUGCCCCUACUUGCUAUGCUGUGAGUAGUGGCAUGUCUACUAAACAGUGAGCAGCCUGUGGUUGCUCACAGUUAAACCCCCCUCUAAUAACUGUCCCUUAUGGGGGGGAAUCUAUUAAGUGCCACCCCCGUGCCCCGCGAGUGGGGGCUAUUAAACGAAAUGGGGGACAUAGGGUCCCCCUUGGCCCCCACUCAUGAGCCGUGGGUGGGGGCCCUAAAUGACAAUAAGAGGGGGACCUAGUGCCCCCCCAACACCCACCUAUGAGCUGCGGUUGGGGGCCCUGAAAGACAACGGGGGGAAGACCUAUUGUCCUCCCCCUGGCCCCCACCCAUGAGCGGUGGGUGGGGGCCCUAAAAGACCAUCGAGGGGAAGACCUAUUGUCCUCCUGCCCAGCCCCCAACCAUGAGCGGCGGGUGGGGGCCCUAAAUGACAAAUGGGGAGACCUAUUGUCCUCCCCUUCGGCCCCCACCCAGGAGUGGUGGGUAGGGGCCCUAAAUGACAAUAAGAGGGGGACCUAGUGCCCCCCCAACACCCACCUAUGAGCUGCGGUUGGGGGCCCUGAAAGACAACGGGGGGAAGACCUAUUGUCCUCCCCCUGGCCCCCACCCAUGAGCGGCAGGUGGAGGCCCUAAAUGACAAUGGGGGAGACCUAUUGUCUUCCCCCCCCCCACCCAUAAGGGGUGGGUGGUGGCCCUAAAUGACAAUGGGGGAGACCUAUUGUCCUCCUCCCCCAGCCCCCACCCAUGAGCGGUGGCUGGGGGCCCUAUAUGACAAUAAGGGGGGGACCUAGUACCCCCCAACCCCCAUCUAUGAGCUGCGUGCGGAGGCCCUUAAAGACAACGGGGGGUAAGACCUAUUGUCCUCCACUCAGACCCCCAACCAUGAUCGGCAGGUGGGGGCCCUAAAUUACAAUAAGGGGGGCCUAUUGUCCCCCCUGGACCCCAACCAUGAGCGGCGGGUGGGGGCCCUAAAUGACAAAUGGGGAGACCUAUUGUCCUCCCCCUCGGCCCCCACCCAGGAGUGGUGGGUAGGGGCCCUAAAUGACAAUAAGAGGGGGACCUAGUGCCCCCCCAACACCCACCUAUGAGCUGCGGUUGGGGGCCCUGAAAGACAACGGGGGGAAGACCUAUUGUCCUCCCCCUGGCCCCCACUCAUGAGCGGUGGGUGCGGGCCCUAAAAGACCAUCGGGGGGAAGACCUAUUGUCCUCCCGUCCAGCCCCCACCCAUGAGCGGCAGGUGGAGGCCCUAAAUGACAAUGGGGGAGACCUAUUGUCUUCCCCGCCCCCACCCAUAAGGGUUGGGUGGUGGCCCUAAAUGACAAUGGGGGAGACCUAUUGUCCUCCUCCCCCAGCCCCCACCCAUGAGCGGUGGCUGGGGGCCCUAUAUGACAAUAAGGGGGGGACCUAGUACCCCCCAACCCCCAUCUAUGAGCUGCGUGCGGAGGCCCUUAAAGACAACGGGGGGUAAGACCUAUUGUCCUCCACUCAGACCCCCACCCAUGAGCGGCAGGUGGGGGCCCUAAAUUACAAUAAGGGGGGGCCUAUUGUCCCCCCUGGACCCCAACCAUGAGCGGCGGGUGGGGGCCCUAAAUGACAAAUGGGGAGACCUAUUGUCCUCCCCCCUGGCCCCCACCCAGGAGUGGUGGGUAGGGGCCCUAAAUUACAAUAAGGGGAGACCUAUUGUACCCCCGGCCCACACCUAUGAGCGGCAGGCGGGGGCCCUAUAUUACAAUAAGGAGGACCUAUUGUCCCCCUGAACCCACCCAUGAGCAGCGGGUGGGGGCCCUAAAAGACAAUGGGGGGACCGAUUGUUUCCCCUGCCACCCCACCCAUGGGCGACGGGUGGGGGCUAAAUGAAAAAAUACCCCAAGCACCUAGUCACACCCAACACCCACCAAGAAAUAAAGCCCUACCUACCCCCCACACCCUAAAAAUAGUGAGGGGGAACAAUACAACUAAAUACCUGUAAAUAAAAAUAAAAAAUUUACAAUUGAUGUCUUCUUUUUUCAGCCCCCAAAAAGGCCAAAUAAAAAUCCAUAAUACCCGUCAAACUUAUAAAUUAAAAACCUGAGUAAAAAAAAAAAAUGCCGAAAAAAAAUAAUCCAGAUGCUUAAAAAAAUAUUCCAUCGUAACCCAGCAAGGGCACUGCACAGACUGAGCUCCGAAGGGCGGGGAAAGGCUUAUAAAGCCUUCCCACGCCCGGCAAUUUGACUCAGAGCACUCUGAUUGGUUUCAUUGCUGGUGCAGUCAUUGGUGGGCAGCAAUCACCAGUUUGUUAUUUUAUUAUAAAUCAGUAAUUGUAAGAAUAAACCUGAAGAAAAUGUAAGUCUGGUGCAUAUUGAUGUUUGUAACUGACAUACAGAAGAAUUAUAAUAUAGAUGUAUAUCUAUAUAACAUGGCAAGCCACCCAACAAGCAGAAAGAAGAUACAUAUAAGACAUAUUUUAAACACCCUGGAAAACACAGAAAGUGAAUUUACUACAGAUGGUGAAUCACCUAUGUGCAAGAUGGAAGGUACAUCAGUCUGCCAUCAAAACUUCCUUUUGUACUAAAGACUCUAACACACCUGUGGCUGGACAUUUUUCUAGAAGUUGCACAACCUUUACCCUGCAUGAGAUUUAGGGAUUUGAUCAUGUUCUUGAGUCAGUACAUGAUUGUGAACUACUUAGAAAAGAAACCUUUUAGAAAAUGUAUCUCCUAGGAAGUUUCAAUGAAUUUAACGCCUUAAUGCAGCACUCGCGCAGUACUUGCCAUGCUUAUAUGUUAUUCUACUUUCUUGUUUCUGUCAUCAUGACUAUAUAUUUUGUUAUGCUGCUAACUUAGAUUGCGUUGAAAAUGCAUGAAUAACAUUUAAGAGAGCGGAAUCAGGGAGCUUAGCGUCUAAAGCGGACGGUCACAUGGCCGCGGAGCUCCGGACCGACAAGCUAACUAAACACCACUAUCAGCAUUUAAACUUACGCCAAACUUCCCCCAAGACGACCCAGGUACUCCACAGGCUCAAUGGGCAGGAAAAAUAAAAAAGCGAGAUCCGACAAGCCCCGCCAGGGCAUACAUAUCGGAGAAUUGUGGCGGCAGGCGCACAACGCUACAGGAGCCAAGAUGGCGUCCCUGCACAGUGGCUGCUCUGAUUUCACAGACGGAUCAUCGGAGGAUGAAGGGGGAGACCCUAAGGGACCCAUACAGACCCCGGCACCAACACGGGCGCAGCCCUUCACAAAGCUCCCUACCCCUGUGACCAUGAAGGCAAUUGGGGCACUUAUGGCCGACCAUCAUAUGAAAAUUGCGGAUGAUGUGGCCCUGCUCAGAGAGGACAUAAAAGGCAUUGUCAACAGGCUGGGAGCGGUGGAAGCCACCUCCACAGGCCAAACCAACCAGAUAAUGGACCUCCAGACAGCAAUCCGUGACCUGCAACAAAAAGCAUGGCAACACGAGCAACAACUCACCGCCCACAAAGACAAGGCCCGACGGAACAAUAUAAAGCUAAGGGGGGUUGCUGACUCCGUCCCCACGUUUUAUCAGGAGAUUACUCACAGAGCUAUUAACCUCAAAGGCAGUGAAGACAACCAUCCUACAGGGAGUGCAGAAUUAUUAGGCAAAUGAGUAUUUUGACCACAUCAUCCUCUUUAUGCAUGUUGUCUUACUCCAAGCUGUAUAGGCUCGAAAGCCUACUACCAAUUAAGCAUAUUAGGUGAUGUGCAUCUCUGUAAUGAGAAGGGGUGUGGUCUAAUGACAUCAACACCCUAUAUCAGGUGUGCAUAAUUAUUAGGCAACUUCCUUUCCUUUGGCAAAAUGGGUCAAAAGAAGGACUUGACAGGCUCAGAAAAGUCAAAAAUAGUGAGAUAUCUUGCAGAGGGAUGCAGCACUCUUAAAAUUGCAAAGCUUCUGAAGCGUGAUCAUCGAACAAUCAAGCGUUUCAUUCAAAAUAGUCAACAGGGUCGCAAGAAGCGUGUGGAAAAACCAAGGCGCAAAAUAACUGCCCAUGAACUGAGAAAAGUCAAGCGUGCAGCUGCCACGAUGCCACUUGCCACCAGUUUGGCCAUAUUUCAGAGCUGCAACAUCACUGGAGUGCCCAAAAGCACAAGGUGUGCAAUACUCAGAGACAUGGCCAAGGUAAGAAAGGCUGAAAGACGACCACCACUGAACAAGACACACAAGCUGAAACGUCAAGACUGGGCCAAGAAAUAUCUCAAGACUGAUUUUUCUAAGGUUUUAUGGACUGAUGAAAUGAGAGUGAGUCUUGAUGGGCCAGAUGGAUGGGCCCGUGGCUGGAUUGGUAAAGGGCAGAGAGCUCCAGUCCGACUCAGACGCCAGCAAGGUGGAGGUGGAGUACUGGUUUGGGCUGGUAUCAUCAAAGAUGAGCUUGUGGGGCCUUUUUGGGUUGAGGAUGGAGUCAAGCUCAACUCCCAGUCCUACUGCCAGUUCCUGGAAGACACCUUCUUCAAGCAGUGGUACAGGAAGAAGUCUGCAUCCUUCAAGAAAAACAUGAUUUUCAUGCAGGACAAUGCUCCAUCACACGCGUCCAAGUACUCCACAGCGUGGCUGGCAAGAAAGGGUAUAAAAGAAGAAAAUCUAAUGACAUGGCCUCCUUGUUCACCUGAUCUGAACCCCAUUGAGAACCUGUGGUCCAUCAUCAAAUGUGAGAUUUACAAGGAGGGAAAACAGUACACCUCUCUGAACAGUGUCUGGGAGGCUGUGGUUGCUGCUGCACGCAAUGUUGAUGGUGAACAGAUCAAAACACUGACAGAAUCCAUGAAUGGCAGGCUUUUGAGUGUCCUUGCAAAGAAAGGUGGCUAUAUUGGUCACUGAUUUGUUUUUGUUUUGUUUUUGAAUGUCAGAAAUGUAUAUUUGUGAAUGUUGAGAUGUUAUAUUGGUUUCACUGGUAAUAAUAAAUAAUUGAAAUGGGUAUAUAUUUGUUUUUUGUUAAGUUGCCUAAUAAUUAUGCACAGUAAUAGUCACCUGCACACACAGAUAUCCCCCUAACAUAGCUAUAACUAAAAACAAACUAAAAACUACUUCCAAAAAUAUUCAGCUUUGAUAUUAAUGAGUUUUUUGGGUUCAUUGAGAACAUGGUUGUUGUUCAAUAAUAAAAUUAAUCCUCAAAAAUACAACUUGCCUAAUAAUUCUGCACUCCCUGUAGAGGGAAUAUUCUGCAUACCACGACCAGCAAAAGCUCCACUGGCCGCAACAGGGGACCUAAUUCUCCAAUUUCAGUCACUCAGGGACAAAAAAGCGGUCCUAGAAGCUGUAAGAGGUCAGCUCACAUACGCCUUCGAAGGAAUGACCAUCUAAUUUUACGCGGACUUAUCGGGCGGGACGCUGGCAUGGAGGAGACACAUGAGCCCAUUCACAGCUCUCCUGCGCCGCCAUCAAAUCCGGUACCACUGGGGACCGGGUCGCACUCUCACCAUAGAUGUAGGAGGCACCAAGCAUAUAAUCCACAACAUGCAAGAGGCCACUGGAAUGCUAGGCAUGCUUGGCCUCCCCACAGACUCACUGGCUCCGGCGACACAUCCAGCAGGCCAAACACACACGCAAGGAGGUUACUCAGCUGAAGUCCCGGAGUUCGUACCCCGGAGAACACCCACAGACCCAUAUGCCAAGGCAACCACUUGAAGCAGGAAACACAUUGUAAAACUUGCACAAAGAACUGCACAACCGUACAAAGAACUGUACAGCGCCAUGCAUACCAUCCGACAAUCCGAGGGCCCAGGUACGCCUGUAACCCCAAGCUUCACCAACACCACGCAGAAUAAGGAACUUGUGUACCCUAAGAAGGCAAAUAGGCCUACCGUAGCUUUGACUAUAACGACUCACCUUGGUUCACCCCCCCCCCUUUUUGUUUUUUUUGUCUCUUUGAAUGUUCUCCCUUUCUGUUAACCCUCGUGGGCUGAUGCUCACACGUUUGAAUAAUCAGAUAGGCCUAUUGAAACAAGCCAGUCGGCUCCAUCGUGUACCUAUAUACUAGCUAGAUAACUCCAGCAUACUCCACACCUUGCACAACAGGUUUAUUAUACUAUAAAUCUCUGGUAUACGACACAGCUUCUGUACUUAUACUACCACUUACACUCACGACCCACAAACCUACUAAACCCACCGUCACCCCUCAUGCAAGCCAUCUGUACCAAAAACAGAUACCACACAUACUUGGGUCCCGGAGGAACACCAGGCACGCUACAAUCUCUGCAUUUAUACGCAUAGAUCCAACUCACACAUGCAUGUUAUCACUACUACGCACAACUGACAUCUCGCUAUUAACGUAGCCUACACUCACUGCAUGCCGUUUCAAUUUACAAAGCUCAGCCAAACUUCAAACUUUCGACACACAGGCCUAGUUUACGAAAUAGGGCACACUCAUAAAUGUAUUUUUACUGUUAUUUAGUUUGCUUUUUAUAUAGUGUGUGACGCCUCUAACAUGUUAUCAACAGUUGAAACGCAGCGUGCAUUGUGCAAGUGGGUAUAUAUAUGUUAUUGUUCACCUAGAAGCUAUCCACUGCAUGAUCAUGCAUUUUAACAUUAACAAACAUGCUACUUUAAACUGUUUUCUCACAAAAACAAAAACGUGCUCUCAUUUGCAAUGCCAUACUGAAAAUCACCAAUAAUUGUUACUAUUAUGCUUGCAGAGGCAAUUGUGGCUAGACAAGCAUGUACUGUUACCCUGAGUACAACAAAAUAAAGAAUUUAAAAAAAAGAAAAGAGAGCGGAAUCAGUGCUGAAUACAGAUCAUCUGUCAGUCUGGGUUGUGUAAAUAUGUGCAUUGGUGAAGAAAUCCACUUAAAUUUUCAUUUUUUUCAUCCUUAUAUUUCUUCAACUGGGUUUUGCCAAGCAACUUAGCUCAAAUUCCAAAUUUUGGCUAUAAACUGCUUUUAAAUCAAGAACUUGGCUGCCAAUCCUCUUAUUAUGAGUUUUGUUAAGAGCAGAGUCCAAAAUAAGCCCUUGAAUAAAUAAUCCAGUUUAUUAAUAGCAUCUCAAAUCAGUUCUCACUGCACUGACUUAUGCAUCUUUCUUAGAAGACAGCAUGUUUAAUAUCCAUAACAGUACCCAAAUGAGGGGGUAAACGUUGAGCCUUGGAGCCCAUGCCCCAUAUCUAAUCUUGAAUAUAAAAUGGUCCUAUGUGUUCUUCCACCCUUGACACCAAAUCUAAGCAGCUUGGCUACAUUUANNNNNNNNNNNNNNNNNNNNNNNNNNNNNNNNNNNNNNNNNNNNNNNNNNNNNNNNNNNNNNNNNNNNNNNNNNNNNNNNNNNNNNNNNNNNNNNNNNNNGGGGGGGUGAGAAAGAGAAAUAAGGGGGGGUGAGAAAGAGAAAUAAGGGGGGGUGAGAAAGAGAAAUAAGGGGGGGUGGGUGAGAAAGAGAAAUUGGGAGGAGGAGAAGGAAAUUGGAGCGGGAGGAGAGAUUGACAUUCAUCACAUACACACAAUGCACCCCUUGCACACAGAAAACACACAGACACACAUACACAAGCAAUGCAACCGUUACACACAAUGCAUCCCUUACACACACAGAAACACACAAUGCAUUCAUUACACACACUCAAUGCACCCCUUACACACAUUCAAUGCAUCCCAUACAUACACAGAAACACACCUUGCAGUCCUUACACAUACAAACACAAUUUCACACAAUGCAUUCCUUACACACAUAUCAGGACAUCCCCUACACACUCCACCCCCUGUGAACAAACUCAUUGGUGGAACAUGAAGGUGGACCCUGGGACCCAGACCUUGAGCUGUGUAAAGGACCCCCAAAAAAUGCAGCUGCUUCCCGUUCUCCCAGAACAUUGAUUUUUGUGACCACAGUUACAAACCGCCUCCAGAGAGCCUGUUCUGCACCAGACCAGUGGAGCCAGACUGCAGCUAGAGCCCAUCAUCAUCCUCAUCUGGUUGUAAGUAGGCAAUCUAGUAUAUUAUUCGUGGCACUAAGCUCUAAUUUACCUCACAUUAAAGAAACACUAUAGUCCCCAGAACCACUUCAGCUUAAUGUAGUGGUUCUGGUGUCUAUAGCCUGUCCCUGCAGGCCUUUUAAUGUAAACACGGCGGCACUGCAGCACUGGCGUUAGUUAACAUGGCAAAUCAUAUGGCUGGGGCAUUGUGAUGUCACAUGGGGGGCGGCAAACUUUACUUUUGCCUAGGGCGGCAAAAAUCCUUGUACCGGCCCUGGCUGGAGGGGGCUGUGUGAGCUGUGGCCGCACAGUGUCCCAUGGUAGUUAGGGUGCCGUGCGGCCAGUACAGCUCACUCAAGCAAACAGCUGAUAAACUGGCCGCACGGAGGAAAUGUGUAUGUGUGACUGUCUGCCUGUGACUGUGUGUGACUGUCUGCCUGUAACUGAGUGUGUGACUGUCUGUCUGUAACUGAGUGUGUGACUGUGUCUGUAACUGAGUGUGUGACUGUCUGCCUGUAAAUGUGUGUGUGGGGCUGCAGGGAUUUUGUAGAAGGGGGUGGGGGUUUUGUAUUGGGACAGGAGUCUUUAUAAGGGGGGAUAAGCAGGGGAUUUGUGGAAGGGGGUUGCGGGGGUUUUGUAGAUGGGGCAGUACAGGAUUUGUAGAAGGGGCAGGACAGAGGUUUUGUAGGAGGGGCAGGGCAGGACAAGGGUUUUGUAGGAGGGGCUGACAGCGGUUUUGCAAAGUUUACAAAUUGUAAAAAUAAAAGAAAUAAAACCUUUAACAUUUUUUACAGGUUUUUUUUUGUUUUGUUUUUUGGGAGGGGGUGGGGGAGGUGCCAAGCACAGGAUCCGCCCCGGGUGCCAAAUGCUCUAGGUACGCCCCUGGCAGCAUGGAGAUUUUUUAAUUUAUUUUUUUACAAAUAGAGGGGCUGGGGACCUAAACCGUUAACAGGGCACUAUAAUGUUUGUAUUCUUAGCGCUGUAGUGUUUUUUUAAGUGCCACCAUGGACAGCAGAACAUUGCACUGUUCUAUUCUGAGUUGUUAAAAAGGCAAACUAAUUUGUAAAUAAUUAAGACACCAGCAUUAUAAUUGAGGUGAGUAGCUUUGCACAUAAUGCAUUGCCAAUGGGGAAUGAAAUAAAAAAUAUAUCUGUCUACCUAUCAUAUGUCUAAUGUACCGUAUAUACUCGAGUAUAAGUCGACCCGAAUAUAAGUCGAGACCCCUAAUUUAACCCAAAAAAACUGGGUAAACGUAUUGACUCGAGUAUAAGACUAGGGAAAUGCAGCAGCUACUGGUAAAUUUCUAAAUAAAAUUAUAUCCCCAAAAAAUUAUAUUAAUUGAAUAUUUAUUUACAGUGUGUGUAUGACUGCAGUGUGUGUGUAUGAAUGCAGUGUGUGUGUAUGUAUGAGUGCAGUGUGUGUGUGUAUGAAUGCAGUGUGUGUGUGUAUGAAUGCAGUGUGUGUGUAUGAGUACAGUGUGUGUAUGAGUGCAGUUUGUGUGUGUGUAUGAAUGCAGUGUGUGUGAUGCAGAGUGUGUUUGUGUAUGUGAUGCAGAGCCUUGGUGGGGGGUGGGCAUUUUUAUUAUUUUUUUCUAAUUAUUAUUAUUAUUUUAAUUUUUUUUUGUUAUAUUAUUAAUACAUUUUUUUUAAUUAUUAUUAUUAAUAAUGUAUUAUUAUUUUAAUUUGUAUUUAUUUUUAUUCGUUUCCUCCCCUCCCUGCUUGAUACAUGGCCAGGGAGGGGGGCUCUCAUUCUCUGGUGGUCCAGUGGCAUUGGCUGUGUAGGAGGGGGGCUGGCAGAGAGCUGUAACUUACCUUUCCCGCAGCUCCUGUCAGCUCCCCUGAGUAACCCGUGGCAACGCUUUGACCCCGCGGCUCUCGCGAGACUUACAGUGGAGCUGACAGGGAAGCUGACCGGACCAGAGGAGAGAGGAAGGGAGCUGACAGGAGAUGCAGGAAAGGUAAGUUACCAGCUCUCUGCCAGCCCCCAACAGGACCGCCAGGCUUGUAAUGAGCCCGGCGGUCCUUGUCUGUAUUAUGGCAAUGUAAUGUAAGACAGUGAAAUGUGACAAAAAAUGUGCUGAAAAACUCGACUUAUACUCGAGUAUAGGGUAACUGCUUUACAAUCCAUAAUAUUGGAAGCUUUGUAGGGGACAUUCUGUCUACUGCUGCAUAUUAAACCCAGCAGAUGUCACUAUUGCCAAAUAUAAUAGCUACAUAACAACAUUUUAUAUUUUUCACUAAUACAUUUUAAAACAGCUGAUCCACCAUACAUCUGUAUGCUAAUAAAGUAAUGCUAAAAAUUUAGCCAAUGCUAAUUUAUUCAAUGGCAUUUGCCUUUACUAAAUAUAUUAACUUAUUAUACAAAUGUUAUACACUGUUGAGGCCUUAUUUGAUUCUAUAUGAGUACAUUUUACAAAUACAUUGAUUCACCUAAUUGCUAUACAAAAAAUAUUUGCCAAUGCUUGGUCCAUUUUUGCUUUAUUGAAGAAGCUUCAUAACGGGGCAGAAAUUCAGAAUGAAGGUACAAAAUAGAAAAGUGGUAGAAUUCUUUCUAGACGGUGAGAAUUUCACACUAAGAACCAAAUGCAUUGCAUUUCAACAAAAUUAAGUUAAAAUUAAAGAAUUACAUAUUACUAAAGGCAAAUGCAAGAGAAAUUUUGUUAUUUAAACUAAAUAAGCACAUCUCAUUUGGUGCCAUCCAGUGACUGCUUUAAAAUCAGCAAUUUUCACUUGCAAAUCUUAUAUAAAAUAUAGAAUUUACUUAUUUAGCAAACACUGAAUUUGAAUACAUUUCAUACUGAAAUUGUGUAGAGGACAACUUGAUAAAAUAACAGAUACACACAGUGUCUGCCCCCUAGUAACACCAACACAAAGUGUGCAAAUAGAUAAAAUAAUACCUAAUAAAAUAUUAUGAAUUUAAUAUAUAAUAAAAAGAAAACAAUCAUUUAUAUUGCAUAUACUAACUAAAUGUUUUAAUUAUUGGGGUAUACUGUACCCCUCUAUAGUAUUAACUCUUUCUUUCGGUGGGUUAGCUUUCAAAAUUGUACCAAUACAAAAACAUAAAGUAGUAAACAAGUAUUAGGAAACUAUCUACUAAAAAAGCUGAAAGGCCAAAAUUGGUCUUUCAGCUAACUUUACGAAUACUAAGUAAAAUAACUUAGUACUAGUAAUAAUUAAGGGAGAUUGCAAUCUCCCUCCUGCCCCUACUUGCUAUGCAACAAGUAGGGGUCUGUCUACUAAACCGUGAGCAGCAAGUAACUGCUCACUGGUGUAAAAAAAAAAAAGAAGACGAGCCCACCAAAUCUAAUAAAGUGCCCCGUGGCGGGACACCUAUUAAAAUAAUUAAUGGAGGGACAUUGUGUCCCUCCCGAGCCCCCACUCCUACACUGCGAAGUAGGGACUUUAAACUUAAUGGGGAACCUAUUGUCCCCCUCGUCCCACACCCACUAGCAGCAAGUGAGGGACCUAAGUAACAAAAGGGGGGGACCUUUUUGCUUCUAGGUUUCCCCCAACCCCCACCUGUUAGUGGAAGGUAGUGGCCCUAAGUGAUUGAUAUGGGGGGACCUACUUACUAUCCCCCAACUAGGGGGACAAUCAAAUGUAGUGGAAUCGGGAAUGGGGUUAAAAAAACCCAAAACAAACAAAAAAAAACAACUGAUGCGGCCAUGACGGUGCCACUUUAAAUACUGCACUAUUAGCAUGAUUGUUUUCUUCUUAUAAAUAUCCACUCCCACCCUACACAUAAUUAGUUCCAUAAUCCUUCCCCAUAUGUUGAACAGAAGUCCAGACUCGAGCAGGAGAGUAAAGGUUUAAGAUUUAUUUCCUCUGAUAUUAAAAUUGUCAGUAAAACAUACUGGCAAUAAACAGUAGGGAUGUGCAUGGGCAAAAAAUUCGGUUCAGUUCGGCACUUCCGAAAUUUGGCACUUCGGACAUUCGGAAGCAUCCAAAUGUCCAUAUUGCCGAAAUUCAUACAAAUUUAAAUUCAGACCGAAAUUAAUUGCACAUGUCUAAUAAACAGUACACAAAAAGGGGAGCAGAGAAGGUGACACUUACUCUGAGGAAGAUGUGUACCACAUUUAGGGACCAGCACGAGGAAAAUCGUCAGGUCUUUAUUAAUUUAUUUUUACACAAAUUUGAAAAAAAAUUACCUUCCUACCCAGGGCUGGCCCAAGACUCAAAUGCUGCCCCCACAGUCAUGCACGCAAACAAGCACAUUGACAAAGUCACACAUGUACACAGGCACAUUCACUCACAGACACAUUCACACACACUCACUAACACACACACACACAGACACACAGGCAGGAACACACGCUCACUCACAGCCACACACACAUUCACAAACAAGGAAAGUACAAGACUUUUGCCACCCUAGGCAAAGGUGUACAGUUGUAUUUAAAAUUAUUCAAUCCCCCCAUUGAAAAUCAGGUUUAUUGCCAAAAUUUACAGACUUACAGGAACCAAAGCUAAAAAGCAACAAAUAUUCACAAACAAAAUGGCUAGGUUAUAUCUCAGUAAUAGAGCACUGAUUGAUUGAACAUCCUGGAUUUAAAUAAGUGAUGGGUGGAGACAUUCUAAUACCGACAAUAAUUUUAGGUCAGAUGGUUUAAUAAAUAAUAAUUGUGACAAACUCCCAUUUUCAAGUGAGUUUGCCACGAGUUCUUGGAGGGGCCUGCUUGCCAGCCUCCUGCCCACAGACUAUGGGCCCUGCAGGGAAACCUGUAAAAGACUACCGAACUUGACCGACUGUUAGCACUGAUUUCCCUGGAACUGUUUUGGGCAUGGGGCCAUGCUUGCGGUCGGUCAAAACUAUGACUUUCAGGAAAUUUCUGAACCCCUGACCUGAUCUGGGUGAUUUUUGGAUAUGUUGUUCACCCAGAUCGGGGCUAUCAGGAUGUGACUUUUAUGGGGGUUUGUGUGUUUUUAAUGUACUUUUUGGGGUUCCAUAAAAUUUUAAGUUUUUUCUGUGCUUGGAGAUAAUUAGGUUAAAUUAGUACAGUUCCUGAUUCAAUUAUCUCCCAAGCACAGAGGAGGGAUUCUAUUGUUUGUGUAUGGGAGUGUCUCACUGUAUGACUCUGUUUUUCUUGGUUGUUCACCUUGCGUCCCUGUGCCCAACAAGGUCCACCUGGGUGUCGCCAUUGUUGGGAAACUUGCAUAAAAGGCCAGUGUGCAUCCAUUAAAAUCUAUUCCAGCUUACACUCCAAAACUGUGUGUCGUCUUGUUAUUGGAGCAAAAGAAGAUUUACUCCUGUGUAUUCUGUUCCAGCUUGCAGGGGAUUCAACGGGGAAAGUCCUUGUAAGGACUAGAAAUAAUUCCCCAUUCGGCUCCAGGAAGGAGCGGUUCCAGGGCCCCAGUCAAGCCACGGCGACUGUGGGCAGAAGUGCUGCUGUUUGUCCCCUGUUCCAGCUAUGAAGCGGUCAUUGGCGGUGGUACCCAGUCAGGGGUACAGGGAGCUCCGUUACAAUAGUGAUAUAUACAUUUAAUUUUAACUCUUUCAAAGGUAGAGAACCCAAAUGUGAGACCUAUUAAUAGUUUUAAAUAAAUAGUUUCUUUAAUGUGAACUUAUGACUAAACCAGCAAGUCCAUCAUUUAUUAUAGUCACCACUAACAGGGUCGUAUUUAAUAAUGGUUGGAACAUGGGCAGACAUUUGCUUGGGCCCCCUGGACCCAGCCUCCACACUCCCUGGUAUGCAAUCUGUGUGUUACUAACAAACAUACUGACACACAGACACAUAUACUGACACACACACACACAAACACAGACAUCCUGACACACACUCGGACACACAUACUGACAGACCUACUAAAACACAGACAUAUACACUGACAGACAUACUGACACACACACGUACACAGAAAAGUGUCUGAAGGUCCGCAGGGGCAAGAAUUUUCGUUGGGACCGCCUUCUAGCACAAGGUUGGCCAAAAUGUAGAUCCCUAUCUGUUGUACAAGGCCACAGUGCUUUGCUAGCUUGGGAUCUACAAUUUGCCCAUCCUUGAAGGGUUGUAUUUAGCAAUGAGCAAAGCGUGUGUGUUUGAAUGUAAGCAUGUUUAUGUAAGGAGUAUGUGUGCGCGAAUGUUGGCUUUUGAAUGCAGGCGUACAUUUGUGUGUAGUGUAUACACUGCCACACACAGAUACACACAGCAACAGACAUGCAAAUACACAGACACAAAGCUACACACACUGACACAUACACAGAGAUACACCCACUGGUACUUACACAUAUUGACACACAGAUACAUACACCGACAUCCAUUGGGUAAGUGUGAUAGUAGGUGUUAGGGUAGGUGAGCAUGCCACAGUUAGGGAUUGAGAGUGACAGGGUUUGGGGUUUGAAUGUGAGUGUUGGGGGUUUCUAAGUGAUUGUGGGAGGGACAGGGUUAGGGGUGGUUAGUAAAACAGGGUUAGGGGGGCUAGUGAGAGAUGGCUGGGGGGGCUAGUGAGACAGGGUUAGGGGACCUUCUGUGCAGGCAGGGGAGGCAAUGAUUCAUUUCAUGGUGGUCCAGUGGCUCCCUGGUGGUCCAGUGUGCUGGUGGUUCGCUCCCUGGUGGUCCAGUGUGUUGCUAGUGAACUUCCUGGUGGUCCAGUGUGCUGCAGGGAGUGCCGUGCUCCCUUGCGAUUCCCGCGCUCUGUGAUGAUGUCAGAGCGCAGGCUGGGAACCCGGUGCCUGUGCUCUGACACUCACAGUGCGCUGGAAUCGCGUGGGAGUGCGGUCCAGCAGCACACUGGACCCUCAGUGUGCAGGCCCGCCGCCCACAACAAUUUAUUUUAGGAUCAGCGAUCCUAAAAUAAAUUGUGGAUAGAGGGCAAACGGGGCAGCUGUUUGGGUCCCCCAUGAGUAACUGGGCCAAGGGCAGCUGCCCCGUUUGCCCCGCUACAAAGACGGCCCUGACCACUAAUAAUAUCACAUCACACCCCAUGAUGACCCCAUAAUGCCGCUUUCUGUGAUAAUUGUAAAGAAAAAGCAAUGUUUUCCUUUUGACGGACAGGUUCAAGUUAAGGACUUCUCAAAAUAGAAAUAGUGUUUCGUUUUUCCAUUUAACUGCAGCUUUGUGUAAAGGAAAUUGAUGGUUCAAUUACAAAGAAAUGUAUAUGAACACAAUAAAACUUCUAAAAGCAAGGGAUUUUCAAUCUCACUACAGUUAAUGUAAUUUUGAGAGACAGACAUUUGUUUUGUUCUUGUUCUAGGAUUUUCUCUCACAUCUCUUCUUUUCCUUCUGUAUGAAUAUUAAAACUACUAAUAUAAAUUCCACACAUAUAAAUUUGCUAUAAAAAUAACAAUUACAAAACAUAAAGCACUUAAGCAAUGUUUCGAUGUAUAGCAAUCAUAACAAAUACAGUUGCAAGAAAAAGUAUGUGAACCCUUUGGAAUGAUAUGGAUUUCUGCACAAAUUGGUCAUGAAAUGUGAUCUGAUCAUCAUCUAAGUCACAACAAUAGACAAUCACAUUCUGCUUAAACUAAUAACACACAAAGAAUGAAAUGUUGCCAUGUUUUUAUUGAACACACCAUGUAAACAUUCACAGUGCAUGUGGAAAAAGUAUGUGAACCCUUGGAUUUAAUAACUGGUUGAACCUCCUUUGGCAGCAAUAACCUCAACCAAACGUUUCCUGUAGUUGCAGAUCAGACGUGCACAACGGUCAGGAGUAAUUCUUGACCAUUCCUCUUUACAGAACUGUUUCAGUUCAGCAAUAUUCUUGGGAUGUCUGGUGUGAAUCGCUUUCUUGAGGUCAUGCCACUUCAGAAGGCGUAUUUUCUUCUGUUUAAGCCAUUCUGUUGUUGAUUUACUUCUAUGCUUUUUGGUAAUUGUCCUGUUGCAACACCCAGCUUCUGUUGAGCUUCAGCUGGUAGACAGAUGGCCUUAAGUUCUCAUGCAAAAUGUCUUGAUAAACUUGGGAAUUCAUUUUUCCUUCAAUGAUAGCAAUCCGUCCAGGCCCUGAUGCAGCAAUGCAGCCCCAAACCACAAUUCCCCCACCAUACUUCACAGUUGGGAUGAGGUUUUGAUGUUGGUGUGCUGUGCCUUUUUUUUCCAAACAACUCAACUUUGGUUUCAUCUGUCCACAGAAUAUUUUGCCAGUACUGCUGUGGAACAUCCAGGUGCUCUUGUGCAAACUGUAAACGUGCAGCAAUGUUUUGUUUGGACAGCAGUGGCUUCCUCUGUGGUAUCCUCCCAUGAAAUCCAUUCUUGUUUAGUGUUUUAUGUAUUGUAGAUUCGCUAACAGGGAUGUUAGCAUUUGCCAGUGACUUUUGUAAGUCUUUAGCUGACACUCUAGGAUUCUUCUUCACCUCAUUGAGCAGUCUGCAUUGUGCUCUUGCAGUCAUCUUUACAGGACGGCCACUCCUAGGGAGAGUAGCAGCAGUGCUGAACUUCCUCCAUUUAUAGACAAUUUGUCUUACCGUGGACUGAUGAACAGCAAGGCUUUUGGAGAUACUUUUAUAACCCUUUCCAGCUUUAUGCAAGUCAACAAUUCUUAAUCGUAGGUCUUCUGAGAGCUCUUUUGUGCGAGGCAUCAUUCACAUCAGGCAAUGCUUCUUGUGAAAAGCAAACCCAGAACUGGUGUGUGUUUAUAGGGCAGGGCAGCUGUAACCAACACCUCCAAUCUCAUCUCAUUGAUUGGACUCCAGUUGGCUGACAUCUCACUCCAAUUAGCUCUUGGAGAUGUCAUUAGUCUAGGGGUUCACAUACUUUUACCACCUGCACUGUGAAUGUUUACAUGGUGUGUUCAAUAAAAACAUGGCAACAUUUCAUUCUUUGUGUGUUAUUAGUUUAAGCAGACUGUGAUUGUCUAUUGUUGUGACUUAGAUGAUGAUCAGAUCACAUUUUAUGACCAAUUUGUGCAGAAAUCAAUAUCAUUCCAAAUGGUUCACAUACAUUUUCUUGCAACUGUAUAUACUUUUUUUUUUUUUUAAAUGGGAAAUCCUUUUCUAAAAAAAUUACUAUUGGCUUUCCUGAAAUCUAUCAUCUGUUUAUUUUAUGACUGCACAGCAAUACUGAGAAAAAUGUUUUCAUGCUUACCAUCAUUUUAUUUUCCUGGCAGAUCCAUGGCAGCAAAUGCCAAUGGGUAGCUCUUCCAUCUCAGCCAAUAGGACAGGAGCAAACGUCUAAAUUAUGCAAAGCCCCUCUUCCAUGCUAACUUCAAUCUGUAUUACAAAACUCCAGUUUAAAAAGCUGAAGCAGACAUAUACAACCGCCCUCCUUGGGCCGGCAACGGCAAAGCAGCCCAAUUGCCAUUCUGGCUGCCAGGCAGCCAUGAAGGCUGGUAGUACAUUACUUACUGGGCUCUCCCUGCACAGCUCUGUUGUGUGCCCUGCAGUGAGUCGGCAGCCAAGAUCUGACAUCAUACCAUCAUCAGCAUCACUACAGGAUGCGCAAGGGACCUGUGCAGGAAGAGCACAGAGAUCCCAUCACAGCAGCAACCACUGGCAACCAGGGAGAGGAUCCACUCCAGCACCCCUAGAGCAAGAUAGGGAGACUUGGUGGAACUCUUUUUCACUAAAUGUGUUUAAAUGUGAUUUUUGUGUGUUUAUGUCAGUAGUUUUUUGUGAUUGUAUGUUUGUAUGUCUUUGUGUGUGUAUCUGUGAUUGUGUGUGUGUAUGUCUGUGAUUGUAUGUGUGUCUGUGAUUGUGUGUGUAUGUGUGUAAUUUUGUGAUUAUAUGUGUGUGUUUGUAUAUGUGAUUAUGUGAUUGUAUGUAUGUGAUUAUGUGCAUACGUCUGUGUUUUUUGAGUGUGUAGAUCUAUGAUUGUGUGUGUAUAUCUGUGAUUGUGUGUGUGUUUGUUUGUGAUUGUGUGUAUAGGUCUAUGAUUGUAUGUGUGUGUAUAGGUCUAUGGGUCUGUGAUUGUGUGUGUGUAUCUGUUAUUAUGUGUGUAUAUGUCUGAUUGUGUGCAUAGGUCUGUGAAUGUGUGUAUGUAUGUAAUUGUGUGUUUAGAUCUGACAUUGUAUGUGUGUCUGUGAUUAUGUGUAUGUGUGUGUAUCUGUGACCUGUGAUUUUUUUGUAUCCUUAAAUAUGGCAAUCCCACACAAAGCUAAGAAAUAAGGGAGUUAUUUACUAAACAAAUAAAAUAUAAAAAUUAAGUAAAGGGCUUUUAAAGUUGUAUUACUUACCUUCAUUAACUAUAUUAUAUAUUAAUUGUGUGGACCAAGACAAUUCCUCUUCGCUUAGUGCAGCCCAGGGAAGCCAAAAGUUUGGACAUCCAUGAUCUAAGGCAGUGGUUCCCAUCUCAGUCCUCAAGUACCCCCUAACAGUCCAGCAUUUAGGGAUUACCCAGUUGUGUCUAAGGUGUUUUUAGAAGAAAAAAAAAGACUUGACUUGAAGACAGGGUUGGGUACCCCUGAUCUAAAGGAAACAAAAAAGGAACACAAAAGAAAGUUAUAUGCCACCAUGGAUCUGUCAGGUUAUACCUGCCGUGCCUUUCACCGAACUAACCAACUUCCGGGUUCAUGGAGCUUCGCCCCACCCCUUUUUUUGACGCGGUCUUUCCACGCUACAUAGGAAGACCGCGCCAGAUUCAAAGGGCUGGAUUAUUGUACAGGUGACUGUGAAACACUUACCAGCUGCUCUAUUUGAUCUACCGUGUACCGAAAAUCGCUCUGGAACGACUAACCUCAUUCUCCACUCCUCGACCUCGGCUUGUUAAACGGACUUCUAUUCCUCUCUUCAACUAUUUGAUUAUAUUAAGCUCUCCAGUUCCAGAACUGCCUCUUAAGCUAAGUACUGUUUUCUUCAAUCAAGUUACUCUCAGUUACUAAUAAGAAACUGCUUCUAAUGCUCAAUUCUGUUUCUUUCAAUCAAGUUACUCUCAGUUACUAAUAAGAACUGUUUCUAAGGCUAAAUACUACUUCCUUCAAUCAAUUUAUUCCUAGUUGCAAACUCUGUCUUGCCUCAUUGAUAAAUUUGCUUGUAGUUAUUAUACUACAUUUAAUUCAACCUAACUCUGCAUGCAUUCUCUGCACUAUUCUUAAUUGGGACUGUUUGGCUCUGUGCAAAUCUUCAGUGGCUUAUUUUUUCCCUGCAAUUAACAACCUGCUUGUGGGUUUAAAGCUACAGUAUCCUAUCCUCCACAUCAGGAACAAAAAUAGGUAAAACUAUCAAUAUCUGUAAUUAAAAUUAUUCUGCAGUUGCGUUCCAAAUAAGUUAGUAUUACAGGAUCUUAGCCAUGAAAAUAGAAUUACAGUAAGUAUGAGUACAAUUUCCUCUUCCAGGUUAACCACUGUUGCCAAUUAUGAUAGGUAACACCCGUGCCAUGCCACCGAGCUUUCGGGAAGAAUUGUGGAACUUGUCUGUUCUCUGAUAUGGCCAUUAAAUCUAAGUGAGACUUACCCCAGAUCUUCGUCAUCUGGAGAAAAUCCUCCUUUAAAAGAUGCUACUUAUGCUUACUUUGACAGAUGCUACUUGAUAGUCUGCUAGGAUUUUUCUGUUCCUGGAAAGUAUAUUGCAAAUAGACCAAGACAUUUCAUCUUCAUUAUCAGAAGGUAACUCUUUGUACCUCUCCGGCAUUUAGGUAGGUAACUACUGCACAGUUUUCUGUCUUCAUAUAAAUCCAUACAUAUUUAAAUUCUGUUUUAAAUUGCAGUAAGGCAGUCAUAGCCACUCUUAAUUAUAUCAUCUGUAGCGGACAUUUUAAUUCCUUCUGAGCUCAAGAACCUUGCACAAAGUUAUUUGAAGUGGGCAGUCCAACCAAACAAAGAAAUGUUUGGGGACACCUGUGGUUUCUUUGAAGAAGCAGUCUUUUAUUUAGGAGUACAGAAAGUGAACAAUGUUUUGGCACACCAGCCUUUGUCCGUUUUCUAUGUCUAGUAAACAGUGAGCAGCAGAAAAAAAAUAAAAGGCCCCCUCCUCCCCCGAGCUGCGCGAUUCGGGGCUUCUAACGUGAAGGGGGGACCAAUUGCUCCCCCCGGCUCCCACCCCUGAGCGGCGGGUGGGGGCCCAAAAUUAGAAUAAGGGGGGGACUUAAUGUCUUCCCCCCUGGACCCCACCCCUGAGCGGCGGAUGGGAGCCCUAAAUACUAAUAAGGGUGGGACCUAAUGGCCUCCUCCUUUGCCCCCACCCCUGAGCAGUGGGUGGGGGCCAUAAUUAGAAUAAGGGGGGACAUAAUGUCCUCCCCCCUGGCCCCCACCCCUGACCGGUGGGUGGGGACCCUAAAUACUAAUAAGGGGGGGGGGAACCUAAUGUCCUCACCCCUUGGUUACUUAAUCCACCAAUCAGGGUGUUAUGAGUCAAAUUACACAGCGUGGGAAAUAUCCAAAGAACUUUCCCACGCUGUGUAAAAUGACAUAGAGCACUCUGAUUGGUGGAUUUCAAGCCUGUCAGUCUCUUCAUUUACCUGUCAGAGCACUCUGAUUGGAUGGCUUAAACCCACCAAUCAGAGUGCUCUGAGCCUAAUUGCAGGGCGGCAAGGCUUUAUAAGCCGUCCCCCGGCCUGCAGAGCUCAGCCUGCGCGGAGCCCUCCAUGGGUGAAGAUGGAUUUAUUUUGUUUGCGCUCGUUUUUUAUUUUUUUUUUAAAGUGCGUCGGUUAUUUUGGUAAGUUUUAUUUUAUUAGUAUUUAGGGCCCCCACCCACUGCUCAGGGGUGGGGGCCGGGGGGACAACAGAUCCCCCCUUUAGUUUAAAAGCCCCCACUCACGUGUCGCGUGUGGGGGCAAGGGAGGGGGGACCCCCUUUUUUUUUUUUUUUAACAGUGAGCAGCCACAGUAGGGGCAAAUUUUACUAAUACUAAGUAAUUUUUACUUAGUAUUAGUAAAUUUGGCUGAAAGACCAAUUUAGGUCUUUCAGCCUUUUUGUAGAUAACUCCCUAAUACCGUGGGAAUUAGGGCGUUAUCUACUAAGCAGCUGCAAGAGAAGUCCCCCGAAGUGCAGAAGUCCCGAAAUUCCAAAGUGUCGAACCGAACCGAAGUGUCGAAGUCCCGAAUUUCGGAAUGCCGAACCGAACCAAAAAUUUUCCCCAUGCACAUGUCUAGUUGUCAGGCAUAUUGUAACCGGGCUUUUUUGUGGCAUUGGUUCAGUAAAGACUUCUUUCUGUCAACUCAACCAUGCAGGUCAUUUUUGUUCAAGUAUUGUCAUAUUGUGCUCCUUGAAACAACCACAUUGCCUUUUCCAGAGCAGCCUGUAUUUCUCCUGAGGUUACCUGUGGGUUUUUCUUUGUAUCCCAAACAAUUCUUCUGGCUGUUGUAGCUGAAAUCUUUCUUGGUCUACCUGACUUUAGCUUGGUAUCAAGAGAUCCUUAAAUGUUCCACUUCUUAAUAAGAGAUUGAACAGUACUGACUGGUAUUUUUAAGCCUUUGGAUAUAUUUUUAUAUCCUUUUCUAUCUUUAUAAAGUUCCAUUAUCUUGUUAUGCAAGUCUUUUUUUUUUUUUUUAUUCUUUUUUUUUAUUGUGCAGGUGAGUACAUGGUGUCAACGAACGCCACAACAGCGUAUAACAAGAUCAAUACAUGUUAGACAGUGGCAUGAGAAUAUGCACAUUUUUCUAUAUUUUUUAUCCAGCUUAACUAAACAGUUAUAGUAUCUAAGGUAAAGUAGAGGAGACAAAUAAUAAUAAGGACAAUCGACAAUUAGAGCUUAACAAUGCUAAAUUAGCCGUUUUAAUGCAGCUAGCACUUUAUGGCAGGUUACAUACCAGCUAAAUCAUUUCAAUAGUCGCUCAUAUAGCUGCUAUAUGCUUACAAGUCAGGUUUUUAUCUUGGCUUGUUUUGCCGUAUAUUGUGGCAUGGUUUGUCGGCAGGGUUAUGUGAAGCAUAAAACUAUUAACUACUAACAUGCCGGGCUAAACAAUGCAAGAAGAGUUUAGUUGUUCGCGUUUCAAUAUGGGCACCUACUGCAGGGUGUGUGUUCAAAGGUUAUCGCUAGCGGUGACCAUGGCCUGUGAGGUGCUUAGAGAAGUGGCUAGAAUGUUAGGUGGAGAUAAAUAUAGGUUAAACACAACAUGUCUAAAUUAACGAUUAAAAGAGAGGUACUUCGCUAUACAUAUUCAUAGACAUGAUAUGGUUGACAUGCUUGGUUGACGCUUAAGGUAUAAUGUGUAGGUUGCGUGAUGAGAGAUCAUAACAGUAGACAAAAGAAAAUAUAAUAGUUGCACGUCAUUAAGCAUUACUGUUUGCUUGUAAAGCACUGUGGUUCGGAGUUGUGUGUGUUUAUGCUUUCUGCUCUCCAUGGUUGUCAGUCCUGGACACCUGGUUUAACAGGCUUAAACUGAGGGAUUAUGGGCCUGGCGCUGACCUGUCUGGAGACUUUGUGUAGAGAGUCUCUAUUAGCCGAUGCCGUCUCUUGUGAAACAGUGUGCAUUGGUUGGUGUGGUGUUGAAGGCUGCAGCAGCGGUGGGCAGUGUGAAGAUAUCCUUCCAGCCCCAGGCUGUUAUGUAGGCCUCCAUCUCGGUGCCACAAACUCUGCAACUGCUGGAGCCUGAGUUUCUUCCCCUGACGGGGGCAAUGGAGGCCUGAUGGGCUUUGGCCGCUUGCGGCGAUAAAGCCUCCUUGCCUGUGUGGGCUCUAUGGUUUGGGGGUGUGUGGGUCGCCUGUCGCUGUGCCCAAGGGUACACUUCCCUGUCCCCGCCGCCAGCUGCCUCUCUUACCUGCCAUCCGUGCAGGUUUCUGAGUGAUUUGUGCUGCUCUCAUGCGGUCUCUGAGUUGUGCCCAGAAGCGGCUGAAUAUUGCGUUCAGGCGCUGUGCGGUGUCUUGUAGGAUCAUCGAAUGCUGUAGCUGAUUCAGUGCAGGCAGUGUGGCGACGGCCGCCAUCUUGGGGGAGCCGUGUGGGCGCCAGCACUGCUUUAUCUUCUUUUCGCGUCUCCGUGUAGCUGGUGGCUCCGAACACACUGUGCGGACCGGGAUGACCCCUGCCGGUCCAGAGGGGGGGGAGGAGGUGAGUAGAGUGGAGGUUCUAUGUGCAGGGUCGCCCGCGAGGAGAGUGGCCGCCUCUCCCCUACAGGGUCUCGAGUAGGCCUCUUGGUGCUGGUGCCGGUUCCCAGUAAGUAGCGGGUUAAUGACUGGUAUCAAUCGUUUUGCCCGGGUGUCCCCGACUAUGCUGUCACCCUCCAGGUGCUGUGCGUGCAGUUUUAUUGGGGUCUUUGCCCCGAAUCGUGCCAUUAUGCUCAGGAGCUCUGUUUCAGCACGUCCAUGCAGCCUGGAAGCCAGGCUCCGCCCCCUUAUGCAGGUCUUUUGAGCUCUCCAUGGGUCAGUAUCUAGCCUGCUCAGUGCAUCCACAUAAAAGCCAACAAACCCAUUGACCAUUUACACACAGACACUAAUUGCAAUUUAAAAAGCCAAAAGAUGUGGAAAAUUAACCUUUAUUUGCAUUAUUGACCUGUGUGUGUCGCCUUGUGUGUCUGUAACAAGGCCAAACAUUCAAGGGUAUGUAAACUUUUGAUCAGGACCAUUUGGGUGAUUUCAAUUAUCAUUAUGAUUUAAGAAGCCAAACAACUAUGUGAUAAUAAAUGGCUUCAUAUGAUCACUAUCCUUCAAUAAAAGACAUUUUUCUUACAUGAUCAGUCAUAUUUUCAAAAUUAAUGCCAAAAUUUCACAAUUUCUGCCAGGGUAUGCAAACUUUUAAGCACAGCUGUAUAUACACAUGUAGAAUAUAUUUUUAUAUAUUCUAUAUGGUUAUAAUAUAAAUAUACACAUAGAAUAAAUAUAUAUACUACGUGUAUACUUAUCUUUUAUUUUUACAUAAUAAAGUGAUUUUAUUGAUUGUAAUUUGAGGGACCUGCCUGACAACCAAAGCAGAAAGUUGAGAGAAUUUAAUUUGCAAGCCCUAUAUUUAACCCUAUAUUUAACCCUGUCACUUUCCAAAAAAUACAAAAUAAAAAAAAUAUAUGAACACUAACUUUGGCUAGGUUUGUGACUAAGUGGCUACUAAAAAAAAAACUGGACAUACUCCAUUCUGAAUACCCUGGAUUGUCUACUUUUGCGAAUGGUAUGCCAUGAUGGAGUAAUUCUCAUUUCUGGCUGCCAUAUGGUCUCAGAAUUUUUGUGUGAACAUUGCAAAAGACAAAUAUGAACCUUGGCCAGGGUUUGUGACUAAGCGACUGCUAAAAAAUACUGAACAUACCCCAUUUUAUACACCUUGGAUUGUCUAUUUUUGCAAAUGGUAUGCCAUGAUGUGGGUAAUUCUCAUUCCUGGGCUGCCAUACGGUCUCAAAGGCAGCAUAACCAACAUUCACCGUUACGAUGCCAUGCAUAACUUAAUUUUUUUUUUUUUAAUUUGUUAAUCUUUUUAAAAUUGUAUUCAUAUUAAAUUGUGUUUCAUUUAGAAAUAUUUGAUAUGAAAUGAAAGCCCUGCUUCUCCUGAACAAAGGGCUAUAUAAUAAAUGUGGGUGCAUUUAAUAUGAGAGAGGUGACUAAACAGCGCAAAUUCCAGGUUUUGUUUAUGUUUUGUUCAGAACUUGUACAAUUGACUCCGUUCUUAAAGGGUUAAUCCCUAUCAAUGAGAUUGCAAGGGCAUGAUUUAUACACCAAAACCACUCCAUGAAGCUAAGCUUGUUUAAGUGUUGAGAGUAUCACUGUUUUUUUCUUUAAAGUUGUAGUUUUUAUUUUUAUUAAGUUUUCUUUUUACACACAAUGCACACAUGGUAUAUAUGCAAAAAACAAAAAGAAGAGACGGAAAAAAACCCCUUUACAGUUAAAUUAACAGAGCAUGAGAUAUGAGCUUCUAAAGUAAACACAUCGUGCUGAAAAAUGUGAAAAUUAAAGCAUUUUUAAUGAAGAUUCUGUAAGUUAAAGCCAGGGGUGUGUGGCCAGGGCUGGUUUUAUUAUUAUAUCGUUAUGUCUCUUUGAAAAUUAUUUUUCUUUCAGAGAGACACUGACAGUCUUUUUUAAAAUACAUAGACAAUCAAUGGCUCUGUGCACUGUAAACUUUGUGCCUACUUCUGCAAUGCUGUGAUAACACUACUUUGACUACUCGCAUCUAAGACACUCUAAACUUCUAUUUGACCUCCCAAAAUUGACCGAGACUAGCUUUCUGAUUACUAUAUACAGUGAGGGGGAAAAGUAUUUGAUCACCUGCUAAUUUUAAACUUUUGCCCAGUGACAAAGAAAUGACCAGUCUAUAAUUUUAAUGGUAAGUGUAUUUUAACAGUGAGAGACAGAAUAACAAAAAAAAAAAAAAACUAUAUUUUUUUCUAAAAAGUCCCAAAAGCAGAGCUAGAGACCUGCAGGAAUGCGUGGGAACAGCGUUCCUGCACUUUUUUUACAGCCCCCAAAUGCCCUCCGUGUUCCCCCUGUCAUGGGGGGGCCCAAGAGGUGGCCUUAUGGCCACCUGAUGGACCCCCACCGGCGAGUGAGCUGUGGUCUCCCCACGAGUGAGUGGGGUGAGUGAGCUGUGGUCUCCCCACUGGACCCUAGGGACAGGUCCACGCCAGCUCUUCAGGCUGGGUGGACAUUUUUUAAAUUAAAAAAGAUUUUGUUAGUGUAUGUGUGUGUGUCUGAGUAUGUGUGUGUCUGUGAGUGUAUGUGUGUGUGUGUGUGUGUGUGUGUGAUUGCCAGGGCAUUUAUCUCCUAGUGUGUCUGAGUGUGUGUGUGUGCACGCGUAUAUAUAUUGUAACAAACCACCUCUUUUACAGGUAGGAUUGUCUCAGAUCUUGCAGUAACCACAGCCUUCUAGGGUAUACAAAGUCCAGGACACAUUCAGCUCGGUUUUCCUUUUUAUUUGAUAAGAAAAACAGGUGCUUUAAAUAAUAAUAAACAAACAAAAUUCCUUGCUCUUACUUGAGCACUUACUAGGCAGAAAUCGUUAUCUGUAAUUGGGUGGCUUUCCCACUUACCAAUUUUCCAAAAAAACAAAAAUAGCUUUGCAAUAAACACAAGCUUUGUUCACUCUCCUAGCUGGCUUUUUCUCCCUCACUCUGCAGCAGGCUGCUCUCUUCUUUUAAAGGCCUGUCUACUAAUUGAUUAGCUACAGGUGAGUGCCAAUUAGUUAGCUCUUAAAUCAGAUCCAAAUUGUGGUGUGUUACACAGCAACUAGUGCUGUUGGAGCAUUGGCCCACCCUGCUCUCCAAAUACUCCGCCCCAGGGACCCAUACCAUGUUUUGCAGAGCAUCAGCUAUGCAUAUUGCAAACUUUAACAUCUCUCCCUGGGGCAUUUAACUGAAAAUCCUCUGGUUGCUGUUUAGCAAAUCAGGCCUAUAUAUAUAUAUAUAUACAUACACGAGUCUAUAUUAUUUUUUUGGGGGUGGGGAUCUUGGAUGAAUUCCCACACUUUAUUCCCCAGGACUUGACCCCUGCCCAAAAGUACCCCAAAAAUCAUAGUAUCCCCACAAAUCUUACAUCCCCUGAUAACCCUGGUCUUGGUGACCAACAUGUCCAAAAAACACCCAGAUCAGUUCAGGGGUUCAGAAAAUUUAUGGAAGUCAUGCUUUUUACCGAUCGCAGGCAUGGUCCCCAUAGCCGUAAAUAGUUCCAUAGAAUCGCGGCUAAGUGCCGCUGGAGGACCGACCAGGAACCACGAGGUUUUCAUGCCGAAAAUAGUUCCAGGGCAUUCGUGGCUAAGUCCCCCUGGUCCAUGCGAACAAGAUGGCCGCCAACUCAUGGUCGAAUGGCACUUCAAAUGGCUUCUGGAGUUCCAAGUGCCACUCAAAUUGUGGCCAAACAAGUACAAAAAGGCACACACAGUGGUUUUAACCAAGAUUUAACACAGGGGCCAUAGUCACAGGGCAAGAGGCUGGCAAGUAUGUCCCUCCAAGAACCCGUGAUGAGGACUAGUUCAUCACACUGACCCAUACGCAAACAUACUGCACACUGACCCACACACAAAUACACUGCACACUGUCACACACUGACCCAUAUACACACAAACUAUACAUUCUCUGACACUCACACACAGUACAGAAUACUUGCAGCAGCCUGUCACAUGCUCACUCUGCCCUUUAUAGCGCGUUGGCUGCUGGGUAUGCCACUGAGAGGAGUGGAUGCUGCCGUUAUUCACACCUCCAUGUGAGCUGCAGCCAGACCCAGUUAUACCAUCCUUUCAACUGUUUGAGGUAGACUCCCAGCUUGGCACCAACACCCCCCAAGGCAGCCCCCCAAGGCAGCAAAAAUAUAUUUUUUUAAAUUGUUGGGCGGUUUACAUUCAACAUUCUUCUUGCAAACUCUGUGCUUAAAGGGACACUCCAGGCAACCAGACCACUUAUGCCCAUUGGAGUGGUCUGGGUGCCAACUCCCACUACCCUUAACCCUGCAACUGUAAAUAUUGCUGUUUUCAUAAACUGCAAUAUUUACCUUGCAGGGUUAACUCCUCCUCUAGUGGCUGUCUACCAGACAGCCACUAGAGGGCACUUCCGGGUUUAUAGCACAGAUUUUCUGUGCUAUAGCAUCACUGGACGUACUCAUGCUAUGUGAGGACCUCCAGCGUCGCUGAAAUCCCCAUAGGAAAGCAUUGAAAGCAUGCGCAUUAGGUCUCCCCGGUCGCUGGCCGCGCAUACGCAAUAGGUAGAUUUUCACCCCUUCAGCAACCUGGGAUGGGGAGGGGGACCUGCAGUGCCAGGAAAACGGUUUGUUUUCCUGGCACCGGAGAGUCCCUUUAAUACAUAAUUGCAAUAUAUGAUAUUACAUGCAUGUAAUACAUACAUACACUGCUUCGUACAUCAUAAACAUGAGACACACACUGCCUAAUACACACACAGCAUUCUAAUAGACACACUGCCUAAGACAUGCACACACACACACACACUGCCCAAUAAACACAAACAGCACUUAAAACAUACACACACUGUCUAAUACACACACACACACACACACACACACACACAGCCUAAUACAUACACACACAGCAAGCUGCCCUCCUUCCUUCACUUACUCAGGUGGGGGCUAGGGGCACUGGAAGCAGCACAAUAUCAGUGUGAUACCUGCUCUGAUGUCAUGCUUCCAGUCUUUUGAUGGUCAUUCCCAGAAGGCACAGGAAAGGGGAAGCAGCCCAUGAACGCUACGCCCUCCCUCUUCAAAGGAUUUGGUUUCUGGAGGUAAGACUCGGGAGGAGGGGGCGUAGCAGGCAGAGGCAGAGCUAGAAUGUUUGGGGCAGGGAAAAGCAGGGUUAGUUGUGAGAUGGGCAGAGUUAAGGGUUUGUGGGCAGGCAGACCCAGGGUUACAAUUGUAACUCUUAUGCUUUGAUGGAAGCAUUUGAUUUGGCUGAUUUACAAGGAGGAGGGCAGAAGCAGUGAGGGGAGGGAGCCAGCGUCUCUAUCACAGGCUGAGGCGGGGUAACAUAGAAACAUAGAAUGUGACGGCAGAUAAGAACCAUUUGGCCCAUCUAGUCUGCCCAAUAUUUCAAAAUACUUUUAAUUAGUCCCUGGCCUUAUCUUAAGUCUGGGAUAGCCUUAUGCCUAUCCCACGCAUGCUUAAACUCCCUCACUGUGUUAACCUCUACCACUUCAGCUGGAAGGCUAUUCCAUGCAUCCACUGCCCUCUCAGUAAAGUAAUACUUCCUGAUAUUAUUUUUAAACCUUUGCCCCUCUAAUUUAAGACUAUGUAUUUCUCUGAACUCUCUCUAAAGUAUCAAUAUCCUUCUUAAGAUACGGUCUCCACUACUGCGUACAAUACUCCAAGUGAGGCCUCACCAGUGUUCUGUACAAUGGCAUGAGCACUUCUCUCUUUCUACUGCUAAUACCUCUCCCUAUACAACCAAGCAUUCUGCUAGCAUUUCCAGCUGCUCUAUUACAUUGUCUGCCUACCUUUAAGUCAUCAGAAAUAAUUACUGCUAAAUCCCUUUCCUCAGAUGUUGAGGUUAGUAGGGUAUCAAAUAUUCUGUACUCUGCCCUUGGGUUUUUACGUCCAAGGUGCAUUAUCCUGCACUUAUCCACAUUAAAUGUCAGUUGCCACAGCUCUGACCAUUUUUCUAAUUUUUCUAAAUCAUUUGCCAUUUGACUUAUCCCUCCUGGAAUAUCAACCCUGUUGCAAAUUUUAGUAUUAUCAGCAAAAAGACAUACAUUACCAUCAAGACCUUCUGCAAUAUCACUAAUAAAAAUAUUAAAGAGAAUGGAUCCAAGUACAGAUCCCUGAGGUGCCCCACUGGUAACUAGACCUUGCUUCGAAUAUACUCCGUUGACUACAACCCUCUGUUGCCUGUCAUUUAGCCACUGCCUAACCCAUUCAACAAUAUUGGAAUCCAAACUUAAAGAUUGCAGUUUAUUGAUGUGGAGCAGUGUCAAAAGCCUUGAUGAAAUCUAGGUAAGCAAUGUCAACUGCACCACCCUGAUCUAUUAUUUUAGUUACCCAAUCAAAAAAAUCAAUUAGAUUAGUUUGGCAUGAUCUCCCUGAAGUAAACCCAUGUUGUCUCUGAUCUUGAAAUCCAUGUGAUUUUAGAUGUUCAUCAAUCCUAUCCUUUAACAUGGUUUCCAUUACUUUCCCCACUACUGAAGUAAGGCUUACUGGCCUAUAGUUGCCCGACUCCUCCCUAUUACCUUUCUUGUGAAUAGGUACAACAUUCGCUAAUUUCCAAUCUUCUGGGACUACUCCUGUUAACAAUGAUUGGUUAAAUAAAUCCAUUAAUGGUUUUGCAAGUACACCAUUAAGUUCUUUUAAUAAUUAGGCCCUAUCGACUUAUUUGUCUUUACUUUUGACAGUUGAAAUGGAACCUCUUCCUCUGUAAACUCACAUGUAACAAAUGACUCAUAUGACCGUUUUCCUAACUGAGGCCCUUUUCCUUAAUUUUUAUCUGUAUAUACUGAACAAAAAUAUUAAUUGAGGCAAUCAGCUAGACCUUUAUCCUCUUCUACAUACAUUCCUUCUUUUGUUUUUAAUCCUUGUUUUACUUUCCAGCCAGCAUAAUCUCAUGGGGGAUUUAGACAGUAUUAAUUCCCAAUUCAUUCCUGCCUUUUAAACGGGGUUGUUACUCUAAUUUACAUGAAAUGGGGAAUCCCACAAAUAGAGGUGCUAAAUAGAUGUAUUACCAGGAGUUAGAAUGGCCGGACUUACCGUUAAUAAAGUCAGUAAUAGCUAAGGUCAGGAUUAUAGAAAUAAGUUUAUACGAAUAAUAUAAAGCCAGGUCGGUCAGGAUUCCAGAAAUACAUUAAGUCAAAUACAUGCUGUGACGGACCGCUGGCACUCUGACUGAGGACCUCCGCCAAUCGAUGCUCCUAGCAGUUGCCGAGGACUCCGAGCACUCUAACCGACACCAUCAGCACUGCGGACCCCACUUCCACCGAUGCAGCUGCGCCGGGGUCUCGCCGUCUCUCACCCACCCUGGAUCCACGACCAGGAUCCAGCUCCCAGUGGGUGAACCUCUCCUAAAUCCAGAGAGCGUAGCAGGAACAAAUCAAGCUCUUAUAAGAGCUUACUCUGGGGAGUAAGUGAUUAUAGCAAUCCCCAGAGUGUAGGUAUCCCUUCCCCCAAGCAUGAGCCAAGGCUUCAAGAAAGGUGCAAGUAGGUCUGGUUUAUUGAGGGCUACCUGCCCGGUAUUUAUGCAAGUGUCCACCAGGUGGACACUCCCCUAGGGGACCUGAUGGAACAAUGGGACAUAUAUUGGAUAUUAGCCAAUCACAGACAAUACAAACAAAACACUCCCACGGUGACAUCACAAUCCCUCCUCUCUAUCCUGGAGAUAAUUUGGAAGUAAUCAAAUUAUCUGCCAGGACAGAGGCAAGACUCCAUUAACCACAUGGUUACAAAAAGACAUAAAAUUACACAAUGUUACAAUUACUACAUAAAACAUAUACAUGCAACAUAUCCCCAGAUAGCUUAGAUCAGAGCACACAUUAUUACCGAUUGGCGCUCAGAUCAACUACAUACAGUUCAAUCGCCAUGGAGCCAAAGUCUUUUCCAUAGUCUUUUGUUACACGAAUAGGCUCCAUGGCAUAGCUAUCUGGGGCAGCACUACUCACAUACUCGAAGUCCCAAACACCCCAGCAGAAAUACACAAACAAACCUUUCUGCAGGGGAAAAUAUAGCUAUCAGCACAGGGGCCAUAGUCGGAAGGCAGGAGGCUAGCCAGUAGUCCCCUCCAGGCACAAGUGGCGAACAGGGCCGGCCUUAGGGGUGUGCGAGCUGUGCCGCCGCACAGGGCGCAUUGGAACAGGGGGCGCCCUGUGGCCGACACAGCUCGCACAUGGCCGGUGUCAGGGGAGCUAAAACAGGUACCCGGGUGGAGGAUUAAUUAUUCUCCACCCGGGUCUAUUAAAAAAAAUAAAAUUCAUAAACGCAUGGGAAUGGAUGGGGCAUGUUCUAUUGAUUAAAGAAAUGUUUGUUUGGCAGUCUUAGCCUUAUGUUUUUUAUAUUUUUCUUGUAAAUUAAAAAUCUACCAGGGAGGACAGAGAUACAGUUCUGCACUGUAUAAUAGAUACACUUCAUGUUACAAUGGUGCAGUAAAGGUGUGCAAAGAAUGUUGGCUUACUGUUAUUGAAAAUACGAUAAAGUUCUGUCAUGCACGAUGUAACAAUAUAUUACAAUGUUUUGAUGCAUCAUGUUCUCAGUGUAAUGUUCUGCCUUGGAAUAAAUAAAGAAUAAAAAAAUAAAAAAAUUCCUGGCAGAGGGGGUGGGGCUUACCGAGCGGCAAGGGCGGGGCUUAUCGCGAGGCGGAGGUCGGGGCUAAUACCUCCCGAAGGGAAGGAGUUCCUGCUUCCCCAUCAGCCAACUGCAUCCACUGGAAAGAGGUAAGUGUGUGUGUGUGACUGUUUGCCUGUUUGUGUGACUGUCUGUCCAUGUGUGUGUGACUGUCUGCCUGCCUGUGUGUGAUUGUCUGUCUGUGUGACUGCCUGCCUGUGUGUGUGACUGCCUGUGUGUGUGUGUGUGACUGCCUGUGUGUGACUGUCUGCCUUCCUGUGUGUGUCUGUCUGUGUGUAACUGUCUGUCUGUAUGUGUGUGACGGUCUGUCGUGAAGACUUUUUGCACAGGGUGCCUAAUUGCCUGAGGACGGCCCUGGUGGCCAAGGGCAAUUUGUCACAACAAUGUUCUAAUAUUUUAAACUCCACAUACAAAGAAGCAUUUAAUUCAUAUAACAAUGUUAUCUUGUGGGCAUUUAAUCCACUUUUAUUCACAUAACAUUAACUUAAAAACAAAAGUAGUGAAUUUGCUGAUAUCAACUUAAUUGUGCUUCCUGUUAGUGUGGUCCAAUUCCUUACUGCUGAGUGUUCUGGCUGUUCUCAUGUCACAAUGUUAUUUGCCUGUCUACAUGAAUAUCAGUCCAAGUGACUGAGUGUGCAGAAUAAUUGGAUUAGUGAAAUGUUGGAGCUUGCCAGCCUCACCCAUCUAUCAAUGUGAAAUCUCAGUUACCUUUCACACAAUAUACUUUUGUCUCUGUAAGUAUAAAAGUAAAAAAUGAUGAAAUAAGCUUGUAUUGCAAGUAUUGAACAUACAGAUAAAUAAUGAGCUUUCAUUUAAUGUUGGAAACAAUUCCUGGAUGUCUGAUCUCCUUCAUGUACCUGUUUGUGUGUAGUCUUAUCUGGAGGGCCCCCACAUGGUAUAUUUCACAUCUUAUUCCUCAUAAUUAGAAUAUUAAAACUGUGCACAGUGCCAAACAUUAGUCUCAGUGCCAGAGCAGCAGGGAUAUGGGAUGCAGAGAUUUUACUGUCUUUUAGCAAAAAUUCACAUCAAAAGUCCUUUUUCUGUUAUCAUGUAAGUUGAAUAUAUCACACACUGCCCAUGCUCAUUUAACUUAUUUUAUACUUUGCCACUUGCAUGAUAACAGGGGUAAGGACGAUGCCAAGUGAUGAUCUAUUUCUGAUGAAAGUUCCCUGCUCAGUGUUAGUAAUGCGAUAGUGUGCAUCCACCCAUAUCUAACGCCGGACGCGGCUAAAGUACUGGUUCAUGCUGUUGUUCUCUCUCGCCUUGACUAUUGCAAUCCCCUUCCCACCGGUCUUACAUGUUCCCAGCUUGCACCGCUGCAAUCUAUAAUGAAUGCGGCUGCGAGGCUUAUUUUCCUGUCCGGUCGCACCUCCCAUGCCUCCACGCUCUGUGAGUCCCUGCAUUGGCUUCCAGUUAGAUAUAGGGCCCAAUUCAAAAUUCUGGCGCUUGCUUACAAAUUCCUACAUAAUGCUGCUCCAACAUUCUUAUCCUCCCUCAUACACAAGUAUGUCCCGUCUAGACCCCUGCGCUCACCCAAGACCUACUCCUAUUCUCUGCCCGGAUCCCCACCUCUGAUGCUCGCCUUCAAGACUUCUCCAGGGCUGCACCUAUUCUGUGGAACUCCCUUCCCUUCUCAAUCAAACUUUCACCCAGCCUCCACUCCUUCAAAAAAUCUUUGAAAACUCACUUCUUCAUUUAAGCGUAUCAAUUAAACUGUCAGCAGGUUUCUCAUCCCCCACCUCAUGACUCCGUUCCUGCAACUGUCAAAAAUGACCUACCAAGCACUCAAUAAACCCUUCUCUAACAAACUAUUUAAUUCCCCUACUUUAACCCUUUGUGUCACUAUACCCCACUCCCUCUAGCA